rnacentral:lncRNA from 1 species
UUGUUGUUGUUGUUGUUUUUUUUUUUGCGAGGAUGCUCUUGUAGUUGUUGCUGAAAUCAAAUCACCCACGCAUGCAACAACCUAAUCAUAGGAAUUAGCUAAAUUAUUUUCAUGCAUGGAGCUUCCAACAGGAUAUAAUAAUUUAGAAAAGUAAUAAACCUUUUUUCUUUUCUAAAGCGCAAGUGCAAAAGGUGUGACCAGAGAAUAUUAGAUUUCUUUCCUGAAGCGCAAGUGCAAAAGGUGUGACUAGAAAAUGGGCGAUGUGGUCGUAGGCGGUAGGGAAAGCGAAACGUCACCAACCGAAUGGCGAUGACACAACCGAAUGAGAGCUCUCACGCCUUCCCCUCCACAAUCACACCAUCCUCCUCUGCUCCCCCUGCUCCUCUUCACCUCUGCUCCAUUACCUUCUUUCUCUGCCUGCCUGGGGGAGCUAGCUAGAAAGAGAGAAAGAAAGAAGCUCGCCGGCGUCGGGGAGGAUGUCGGACUGGGGGGCGGUGGUGAUUGCGGUGGUGCUGUCGCCGGGGCUGCUGCUGCAGCUCCCCGGGAAGCACCACUUCGUGGAGUUCGGAAACAUGCACACCAGCGCCAUGGCCAUCCUCGUCCACGCCAUCCAUCCAUCCCAACUGGACUUGUUCGACAGGAAAGGAAGAUGGCUGAUUCCCCAGCCUGCUCUAUAUGUUGGGCGGAGGAGGACACUUGGCACCAUUCACUACUCAGUUGCUAUAUGGCAAGAUUUGUGUGGGUGUUGGAAGACGAAGAGCAGCUCGAGCAUGUGAUCUCAAACCAAAACAAAAAUGCAAGGUUAUGGCUGUUCUGGCUCUUUAAGACAACAAACCAACAAGAUCUUGCUCGAGUAUUGGUAACUAUGUGGGCAAUAUGGUGGGCUCGGAGGAAGGCAAUCCAUGAGAAUGAAUACCAGAGCCCGCUCUCAACUAGGUGUUGUAUCAAGAGAUUUCUGGAGGAUCUUGAGAUAGCUGAACUUAACUGUGAUGCAGCUAAACUUAAUGCAGCUAAACUUAACUGUGAUGCAGCUAAACUUAACUGUGAAUGUGCGGUCAGGCCUCGGGCAAGAAUUUGGUUACCUCCUUCGGGUGAUGCAGCUAAACUUAACUGUGAUGGUGGUCUAUCAACUCUGGGGGAGAGAGGAGCAGCUGGAGUUGUCUGUCGAGACAAGUUUGGGAAGUUUUUAGGCGCGUCAGCGGUGGUCUUCGACGGCCUGACCAACCCGGCAAGCUUGGAGGCACAAGCUUGCAGCGAGGCGCUAGCCCUCACACGGGAUUUCAAUCUACAGGAGCUAGUGAUUGCCUCAGAUUGUGUCGAAGUGAUAUCAAAUAUCAACAAGGCAGGUUCACCAUCUUAUGCUCCUAUCCUAGGACGAGACUUGCCUGCUCCCUUCCCGUGCUCCUAUCCGUGCUCCCGCGUACGUGGCUUGAUUUGAUUGGAAGAAAAUAAGGCCCGGCCCCACCCCCUGAAAAUCAGGGGGGAAGAUGAUUAGAUUUGAAAAGAAAAGGAGAAAAUGACAGCCGUAGGAUGAAGUGGGAGCACGGAUGGGAGCAUGGAAAGGGAGCAGGCAAGCCGGAUCCCUAUCCUAAGGGAAAUUCAAACCAGUAGGACCAACUUUUCUUCUGUUGCUUUUCGUUUUGAGAGUACAGAUAAUAAUUUUGAGGCCCAUUCGCUUGCAAAAGGACAUGCGUCUCUUGCGGUGGGUCGCCAUGUGUGGCUAGGGGUUUUGCCAGAGAUUACAUAUAUUCCAGAUGUUCUGAAUUUUAAAUAAAAUCCCUAGUUUCCCUCAAAAAAAAAUAGCGAAUCGUCUAUUCUGUUUCAGCGCCGACGCACGACUCGCUGCAUGCGCGCAUCUAGGGUAGUUGGGCGAAACUUGGCCGGCGGCAGCACUGCGCAACCAACCCAGAUCAGCGGCGACGGCCGAAGCUGUCAUGUCGUGCCCGGCGACCACAACGAGAGACGCGCAAGAAUACAAAUCCUAUGGGCAGUCUCCCUGUUGACUAGUAUCAUGUUACCGAUCCAAAAAUCCGAAUUAGGUCACAUCAUUUUCUUUGAUUUAGAUGGAAUUAGCUAGGCCAGUGGUUUCUUGUUUAUGCUCACAAAUCGGUACUGCAAAUUAGGCAUAAUGCAUUCAUUAUAUCAUUCAGAUUUAAUUUUUUGUCAGUCGUUUUUGUAUAUCAUGAAGAGAAAAAUUAUAUAUUCCUUCGAAACAAUCAUAGGCACAUUUGCUCUUCUUGGCAGUCAAGAAGCCAAACUUAAGCAAGUACAAACGUAAAAAAAUGCCCCACUGACCAUAUAAUUUAUGAAAAACAUUCAAUAUAUUUGUCAUGUUNNNNNNNNNNNNNNNNNNNNNNNNNNNNNNNNNNNNNNNNNNNNNNNNNNNNNNNNNNNNNNNNNNNNNNNNNNNNNNNNNNNNNNNNNNNNNNNNNNNNNNNNNNNNNNNNNNNNNNNNNNNNNNNNNNNNNNNNNNNNNNNNNNNNNNNNNNNNNNNNAUCUUCAAAUCCUGGCUCCGCCCCUGCCAGCUAGCUACCGUGUGGCUUUAGGUGUUGCGUAUCCUCUACACACACAUUUUCUUCUCCUCCUUUCGCCCUCUGCCACAUAUUCUUGCUCGAUGGAAAGCGAUGUUUCAGGCGCGGCCAGAAAACACGAGAGAUCAUCAUCAUCUUCAUGUAGCUUCCCGAAGGUUAAUCGCAAUUACAUCUCCGGCUCUGGUUCCACUGGAUUGUAUUCUAGAUUCUGGUACAACAUGGUGGAGUAGAUAAGAAAAGUUCAGGACAAGUCGUUGUCAGUUGGGAGGAGCUAGCUGGUCAUGCAAUGAGCAUUGCUAGUUGACCUCAGCACUCACUCUCAUGGAGGACAGGACGAGAGUGAGAGGUCUCCAGCCACAGAGACCUCACUCUCACACUCACUUUCCCCCUGCCUGCCUGUCUGUUAUCAACAAGCUCACUAAAAAACAAGCAAAAUUGCUGUUGUUCUUCUCCUUGAAUGUUGUUGUGGCGUUGAAAUGCCCUAGAUAUAGCUAGCCAGUUAAACAAGUGAAAUUUUAAAAGGUUUUCUUUUCUGAAGUUGUUCUCCUUGCUCUUCUUCUUGUGGUUGUUGAAAUCGCCUACAUAAAGUACUCAUAUAAACUGUCAAAGGAAAAUAGGUAAGCCUCCCCUCCAAGUUGGGGUUUCUCUUUCCCUCUCGCGAGUGUGGCGGCUAGGAUAUUCAUUCCUUCCCAGCUUCGCUGGCGAGCCCGUGGAUCCACCUUCCAUCCNNNNNNNNNNNNNNNNNNNNNNNNNNNNNNNNNNNNNNNNNNNNNNNNNNNNNNNNNNNNNNNNNNNNNNNNNNNNNNNNNNNNNNNNNNNNNNNNNNNNNNNNNNNNNNNNNNNNNNNNNNNNNNNNNNNNNNNNNNNNNNNNNNNNNNNNNNNNNNNNNNGGUUUUUUUUUCUCGCAUGAGCGGCGUUCACGCAGAUAGCAGUGGUUCAUUUCGAGUUGGUCUUCCGGACUUCGAUUCUCAUCGAGUUUGUCCAUCGGGGUGGAGCCCCGGUGUAGAUUCUCCGUGGUGUGAUGAGGUUAGAGUUUCUUGCUGUUUGUGUGCAACGAUUAGAUUUUGAGUAAGAUGUUUUAGAUCUAUUCAAGAGUUCAGUGGUGAUGAUUUCAGCUCUAGUACGCCACACCUCAGGGGCACGUGCAUGAAGACUUCCCGGCUGUCAUCAAGAAAGUCAAACCGGCUCAGGUAGGGGAGCACCGCAUAGACGGACAUUCCGACUGUGGCAGUGGUCCUUCGGUGGUGCUUGAUUUAAUUUUAUUAUGUAUAUAGGAUGUGUUGCCCUUUUUACGAACCUUUGUAAAAGAUCUAGGUCCUUUUUCACAAAAAGGACUACCUAAUCAUAAGAUUUGAAUAAAUAUAUUUUCAUGCAUGUAGCUGCUAAGAGUAUACAAUAAUUUAGAAAAAAAACCUUUUCUUUUCUUUUCUGAAGCGCAAGUGCAAAAGGUGUGACUAGAAAAUACAAGUGCAAAAGGUGUGAUUAGAAAACGGGCGAUGUGGUCGUAGGCGGUAGGGAAAGCGGAACGUCACCAAACGAAUGGGAAUGGCGAUGAAAGGGAGCCCUCACGCCUUUCCCUCCACAAUCACACCAUCCUCCUCCUCUGCUCCCGCUGCUCCUGGUUUGCUCUGCUCCAUUGCCUUCCUUUCUCUUCCCCGAGGAGCUAGCUAGAAAGAGAGAAAGAAAGAAGCUCGCCGGCGUCGGAGAAGAGGGGGAGGAUGUCGGACUGGGGGCCGGUGGUGAUCGCGGUGGUGCUGUUCGUGCUGCUGUCGCCGGGGCUGCUGCUGCAGCUCCCCGGGAAGCACCACUUCGUGGAGUUCGGCAACAUGCACACCAGCGCCAUGGCCAUCCUCGUCCACGCCAUCAUCUACUUCGCCCUCAUCGCGCUCUUCGUCAUCGUCAUCGGCGUGCACAUCACCACUGACUAGAGACCGGCGGAGCUCGAUCACCCCGGCCGGCCAGCUCCAAUUAAGCUGCUCUUCCCCUUCUUCCUUUUUCCAAUUUUCAUCCGAUCCAUCUGACUCCUGCCUCUGUGUUUCGUUUUGUUCUGUUCUUGCUGCUUGCAACUACUUGUAGUAGUACAUGGGAUCAUGUUUGUUUGUUGCCAUGCGUAAUUAAUCUCGCGCGUAUGUAGCUUCUUGAUUAAUAAAGAGAUGUGUGUACUCAAUUUUCCAUGGAGUGGCACAAGUUAUUUAAUCAUCUGAAGCUCAAGAUGAACCGGUAGAUGUGUGCAUAUAGUAAGGCUUGCAUUUUUUUUCUUGCAAAGCAACGACCUUCAUUUCAGCUACAGCGCUUUUCAACUACCCCUGCGAUAUCCAGAGCAUAGAUUGAUUAUAACCAGUAGUUUUGCCCAUGUGUCAUUCUUGGGUUCAUGAUUCUGCUGAUACAAUGAAUUAGCUACUCCCUCCGUCCCAUAAUGUAAGACACUUUUUGACACUAGUGUAGUGUCAAAAAACCUCUUACAUUAUGGGACGGAGGGAGUACUUGAUAGCUGAAUUUAACCAAGUGAUUAUGCAAUACUCCAUCAAUUAAGUACUGAUAAUCCUAGACCUACGUAGCUUUACGAAGCGGUUUACGUAACCUNNNNNNNNNNNNNNNNNNNNNNNNNNNNNNNNNNNNNNNNNNNNNNNNNNNNNNNNNNNNNNNNNNNNNNNNNNNNNNNNNNNNNNNNNNNNNNNNNNNNNNNNNNNNNNNNNNNNNNNNNNNNNNNNNNNNNNNNNNNNNNNNNNNNNNNNNNNNNNNNNNNNNNNNNNNNNNNNNNNNNNNNNNNNNNNNNNNNNNNNNNNNNNNNNNNNNNNNNNNNNNNNNNNNNNNNNNNNNNNNNNNNNNNNNNNNNNNNNNNNNNNNNNNNNNNNNNNNGUCCAUGUGGCAGGUUACGUAAAACAUAUAAAAUUCUUUACGUGGAUGUAGCAUUACUCAUUAAGCACGUAUGUUGAUCAAUGAGAAAAGUAGCUACCCACACAUACGCUUUCCAUCACACAUAAUACAUGCUUGAUUACUCCAAUUGCCGACCAAGAUUACGUACUCCAUUUUGAUUGCCGAACAAAUCAAAAUUUGAAAUGAUACAAGGUUAAUUAAUUAGCUAAAGUGGUAAUGAGAUUUGUUAUGACGACUUUUGUUAGUCCUGUGCAUUCCAAUCAAAGGGGAAGAUGAGGAAAAUCAUUGUGCAGUCGUACUGCACUGUACACUUGUGCUGUUGAUGGCUGGGUCGGGUGGGCGGCUGGCCGGUGUGCACGUAUGGCACGCCCUAGUCCCACACCAAUCAAUCGAUCGGUCGUGAUCAAGCUGACGGUGAUCACUGCCGGUCCAACCACUACCACGGCAGCUACCGCCUUAACGUUGAUGCUGCUAGAAUAUUGCCUAGCUACAAAAGCAGCUCUUUAGUAGUAUUAUUUCUCUUUUUUUUUGUGGCGAUUAAGGAGCUUUAAUUAAUUGUGCAACUGAAAUGUCUUUAUAAUCAAGCAUGUAUGGGCUCGAUCCACUUGAAAGUAGUCACUCCCUCCGUUCCGAAAUAAACGUCGUGGUUUUAGAUUUCCGUUUAUUUUUGCGGGGUGUGGUUUCAGUUCGUUGUUCUCAGCCGACUGCUUGUACCCAUCAUCCUCCAUUAGAAAAAAAAAGGCCCUCCAUGGUGAUGUCGUCGUCGUCGUCGUCCGAGAAAUUAGCUGAGCCAUUGGAAAUUUCCUUCUCUCGAUUGUGCUCCGGCGCCUUCACGACGUUAUUCAUGUUUUAUUUUGUGAAAUGUGCAAGCAUUUCAGAGGGUGAAAAUAAAUUAAUUAAGCAGGAGGUGAAUAAAAUAGGUUAGUUUGUAGUAGAUGCUACGCAAGCGUCACCUUCAUGCGUCUACACUUCAAUCGACGAUCGUCCUGGUUAGUGGCAACGACAAAAGGACACGAUGAUUCUGGUUACCACUAGCAGCUUGUCUGUGUGGAAGGAGCUAUGGCGCCUAAUUCGCCUAGGUGGCCUGGUGCGUGGUCUCCAUCAAUGCAGAUAAGAAGAGAAGAAGAAGAAAGCAUCAUGUGCACAUGAACGGCCAUGCAUCCAUCCAUCCAUGCUCUCAUGUAGCAUGAUGACUUUCUCUACCGGGACAUCACCAUCGAUCGACACCAUUAUUAACAUUGGGAAACCUCAUUUACUAAGACUUUUAUGAAAUAUGGGAUUUGUUUAUUCCAAUUUAGCUACUUCUAAGUUGCCUCAAAAUAAUAUAUGGGUCAGUCGAGUUCACAUGAAGGAAGCAACCGCUGGCUCGCCAGCGAAGCCCUUUGUGUCUAUCUUAGGGUGGCAGGCGACCCCGGUGUCUAUAUUAGGGUGGCAGGCUCGCCGACUAUCUAUCUUAGCGGGGAGGGUGCUGGUCCACCGGAAAAAAUCUGUUUAUCGCCAGGGUUAGAGGGAUGGCCAGGGACGAUGGGAGCGCGGCGGUGCGCGGGGAUGUGAGGCUGGCGUUGGAGCGCCGCUGGCCGUGGACGAUGGCGGUAGGCCUUUAGGUCGGUCGUAGCUGACGGCUUGGGGUAGAAGAUAACUGGGAAAACGAUUGAGAGGUAGAAAAAGGCAUCUACGCCAUUGGAUCUGUAUCUGAAGGCUGGAAACGAUUCGACAAACACAAAAUUCUUUUUCAGUCAACUGGUCUCUAACCUAUGUUACUCUAGGAAUCAGCAAACCAUGUACGGCCAGCUCUUGACUAGCUAAUUGGACGAAAUGAAUCGAUGAAAUUGGCCAAUGUACAUGUGACAACAAAUAAAUCAGUACCAAGCUAAAUAUAUAGUUGUCUCCACUGACCCUAAUAAUUCUCUCAACAUGCGAGCCAACUCACCCCCGUAAAAAAAACAGCUAUGUCAACUCAUCAUGCAUGCCAAAUCCACACUAACUUAACACGCAUCAUGCGUGUUACUCAUAUUCAAUAAAUAUUAUACAGCUAUACACUAAUCAAACUACAACACCUUAUACAAAUUUAGUUUGCAUUGUUCAUCUAACUAAUGGUGUUUCAUACAACCAAUUCUUAUUAAAAUAGUUACAACCAAAUUCCGUGGCAAUCGCAUGGGUAUUUAUCUCCCGCUUAUUAAUAAGAAAAAGGUAGGAACAAGGUAAUUAAGGAAUGUAUGGAGUGCAAAUUGGUUAUUUGGCUUGGGUGGAUUAUAUAGAGAGCUCAGCCUCUGCAUUUGUUGGAGCUCUCGCAGCCGCGGGUGUACUUGUUGGCCUCAUCUUCCUCGUGGGUCAGCCCGUUGCGGCCCGGCACCUCGUCCGCCUGCAUCACGUCGUACAAGAUCAUCUUGGCGUCGACGCGCCCUGCACGCUGCGCCAGCAACAACACCGCCAUCGCCACCGCGACCAGCAGCACCCGGCCCGCCGCCGGCGAGCUCUCCUUCCUGUGGUACGCCAUUCUAGCUAGCCUUCCAUUGAUUGCUCAACGAAAAUGUAGCCGGCCGGGGUAGACGAUCUGCCUGAACUUGUCGGUUGGACGUAAGGCGAUUAAGCUUCGCAAAGUGCUACCCACCAUCCGUUAUUCUUAGGAUCCGGCCUACCUAUAUCACUAUAUCAGGAAUGACGCCAAACAGAGGAGGAGGAGACCAAACAAAAGGCAGACACACAAACAGGUGACAACAAGGCAAACCGGCUAUACAUAGAAUUUCUAAUAAGCAUGCCUAAUAAGCGAGAUGACGCGGUUCCCGACCGCCCCGCUCCGACUACCGGUUCCAGCGUGGCAUUUGAAUUAUGCCGCGCUAGAUGCCUUUUUUUUGGCGAGGAACAAGUGGGGUCAAGCGUGCUUCGGCAAUUCCCGCGGUCAGAAGACUUCCUUGUAGUCCGGUGUAGCUAGAGGUGAGGUUGUAGGGAGAUGCACCGACUAGGAAACAAUGACCACACGAACGAGCAUAUGUAUGAUGUGAUUAAGUCUCUCGAUCGGGUAUCUGGUGCCUUACGGUGUCUUCUUUCUGUCAACCUUUGCCAUCUUUCAGUUGGAGUGUGUGGCAUUAGGGUUGUGUACGUUUUGUUAUUCAGUUGCAUGGUGUGUACUCUAUACGGUUGUAUCACCUCGAUGUGUGAGUCAAUGUGUUUGAACCAAUGUAGAGUUUCAUGUGAAUGUUACAAGUGUAAUUGAUAUGUUCAUGUUAUAACCGCGGUUGCCUUGGUAAGAAACUGAAAGAGCAAACCGGUAUCGUGUUAGGACAAAAGUCAUCACUCAAUAUAAGUUGCUUCUCUAGAAGAGACACACCUUGUGAAAGAAGAUGGCAAACACCCAAUCAUGUCUGGUUCGAUAUGGGCGUGGCUAUGGGUAGCUAGCGACACGGAAGCCAGCGUCGCCUGAAGAAACGCCUGGGUGGGCCCGCCUAGAGACAGAUUUCUUCAUAUCUUUUUUUCGAAAAGGGGGGGCUCCCCGGCCUCUGCAUCAGAGUGAUGCAUACGGUCAUCUUAUUAACCAAAUAAAAAUGUGCCAACAAAGUUUCAAAGUCUCCAACUGAAAAAAAGAAAAGACAGCUCACACAGAGCCUAAAAAGACUAGAGACACAAACUAGCCAAGAAAAGACGCCACAACCGGCUGGCUAAAAAUAAAUAGGUAAACUAAUUGCCUAUCCUAUUACAUGACCGCCAUCCAAACCAGUUGAAGAUAUCCCGAGCUACCGUCUCCCAGCGGAUAGAUCCAGUAACCAAAUGCUCCCUGGCCUCCAUCGGAGUGAGUAGCGACCACGAACGGAUCACUGUCGUGGCUCGGAAAAUAACCUGCAAAAAAUGAAUACGUGAUGUUGUGUUAAAAACCAAAUCAUUUCUGCAAUUCCAGAUAGUCCACAGCAAAGCGCAAACUCCAACCCGAAUAUGUCUUACUAAGUCAGGCUCAAUUCCAUUAAGCCAUGUCCCAAAUAAAGCGUUGACAGAAUUCGGUGGAUUAAUAUUAAAAGCAAUGUGGACCGUCCGUCAAAGGACUUUGGCCAACGGGCAAUCAAGAAAGAGGUUCUUGAUCGUCUCAUCCCGAUCACAGAAACUACACCUAGUAGGUCCUAUCCAAUUACGCUUUAUCAAGUUGUCCUUUGUUAAAAUAACUUGUUUAUGGACAAACCACAUAAACACUUUUAUUUUCAAAGGAACUUUGACAUCCCAAACAUUCUUGGAAGUUGGAAUGGAGUUCGAAUUAAUAACAUCAAUAUACAUUGAUUUAACUGUAAAUACUCCAGACCUAGUCAGUUUCCAGCGUAAUUCAUCGGGUUGUUCAGAAAAUUGAAUCUCCAUCAGUCUCCUAACUAGAUGGAGCCAGUCUUCCCAACGAUUGCCCGCUAGCGACCGUCUAAACUGAAUAUUAAGGGGGAUAGAUUGAAAUACCGUUGCAACGAAUACCUCACGUCGUUGGAUAAUACGAUAUAAAGACGAAUAUUGAAUGGCCAAUGGUGUGUCGCUAAUCCAAGUAUCCUCCCAAAAACGUGUACUAGCACCGUUUCCAAUAACAAACUUCGUCCUAUUGAACAUUGAUUGUUUGACUUUCAUUAGUCCUUAAUUUUGUAUCUACCCUUAGUUUUGUUUUUCUGCCGUUUUUCUUUAUAUUUUAUAUUUUUCCCGACAUGUUCACUACUUGAUGCUCAACUGGGAUCUCAUCCUUCACAGAUAUGGAGGGCCAUUAUUGACGGAAGGGAUAUUAUAUGGUGCAAGGUAUAAUCAGACACAUCAGGGAUGGAGCGACUACACACAUAUCACUAGUAGGAAAACAUUCGACACGGGCGGGCGCUUUUCUUUCUAGAAAAACAUUCGAGUGAAUCAGGUGGACCAUAUAUUUCUCAUGUGGACGAACGAAAAAAACUCCACGACUAACAGUCUAUGAUAUUCACAUGGUACCGUGCUUUAUGGUCGAUUGGAAGUAAAAAUAUGAAAAGCAUGCCUAAUAAGCGAGAUGGUGCAUGCAGUUCCCGACCGCCCCGCUCCGUAUCGGUUCCAGCGUGGCAUUUGAAUUAUGCCGCGCUAGAUGCCUUUUUUCGGCGAGAAACAAGUGGGUUCAACCGUGCUUCGGCAAUUCCCGCGGUCAGAAGACUUCCUUGCAGUCCAGUGUAGAGGUGAGGUUGUAGGGAGAUGCACCGACUAGGAAGCAAUGACCACACGAACGAGUAUAUGUGUCUGAUGUGAUUAAGUCUCUCGGUCGGGUAUCUGGUGCUUUACGUACGGUGUCUUCUUUUUGUCAAGCUAUGACAUCUUUCAGUUUGAGUGUCUGAUAUUAGGGUUGCAUACUUUUUGUUAUUUAGUUGCCUGUUGUGAACUCUACGGUUAUAUCACCUCGAUGUGUGAGCCAAUGUGUUUGAAGCAAUGUAGAGUUUCAUGUGAAUGUUACAAGUGUGAUUGAUGUGUUCAUGUUAUAACCACGGUUGCCUUGGUAAGAAACUGAAAGAGCAAACCGUUAUCGUCUUAGGACAAAAGUCAUCACUGAAUAUAAGUUGCUUCUCUAGAACAACCACAACCUGUGAAAGAAGAUGGCAAACACCCAAUCAUGUCAGGUUCGAUACGGGCGCGGCUAUGGGUAGCUUAUAGCGACACGGAAGCCAGCAUCGCCUGAAGAAACGCCCGGGUGGGCCGGCCUAGAGACAGAUUUCAUCAUUUCUACCCUUAGUUUUGUUUUUUCCCCCGUUUUUCUUUAUAUUUUAUAUUUUCAUAAAAAAUCUAAAAAUACAUAUAUUCCACAAAAAUACUGAUGUUUUGAAGAAAAAAAUGUUUGUCCAUUUAAAAAGAUGGUCAUAGCAUUAAACAAAUGGUCAUUAUAAAAUAUUUUUAGAAACGUAUAUAGUGUAUUUUAAAAUGUUAAAUAUGCAUCAAGAAUUAUUUCUUAAGUAUACAAAAGAUGUACAAUGUGUAUGAAAAUUACAUAGACAUCGGAACAUAUUAUAGAAAAUGUUAAUCAUGUAUUUAAAAAUGUUAAACACACAUCCAUAAAAAUGUUUUCGAUGUACGUAAAAAAAAUUGUACAUAGCGUGUGAAAAAAGUAUGCAUUGAAAAAACAAAAAAACUUGUUGGAAAAAAAUCUCAUGUUGUAUACAAAAAUGUAAAAAGUGUAGAACAUAAUUAGAUAUAUGUUUAACGAAACAAGGAAAGAAGGGACAAAAAUAAUCCGAUCAACACCAAGAUAGGAACAAGAAAACCUGAAGAAGACCAUUGAAAAAAAGAAAAGAUACAAGAAAGAUGAAGAAAAACGAAAAAAUGAAGAAGCUGAUGCAAAACAGGGAACUUAGUGAAAACGAAUAAAAAUUGAUGAAAACCGAGAAGGAAAACAAGAAAACUGAAGCAAAAAAUAAGAAAAAUAUGUAAAAAAGGAAAAAUGAUGAAACAUUGUGAAACAGUGAAAUACUAUGAAAACCAAAAGAAAAAAGAAUAAAAAAAAACGUACAGCGAGCAAAUGAACAACAACUGAAUGAACGAGCGACCAUGCGAGAACACGUUAAUUGUCCGGCCCAUACUUGUGGACUCCAGAGGCGAGCCUGAAUACGCGAGAUAUAGCUAUGACGAUUUGAUACCCUUCAUAGCUUCACUAAUGCUAUAUCUCGCUCAAAGCGAGUGUAUCUUUUGUCUGGCCUGAAGGUGCAAGAAUAGCAUCAAGUCAUUGUAAGGUUUGCGAUCCUACAAUCAGAGCUCCGAUACGAUUAAAAUUCAUGUUUCAGACAACCUUUGGUCAUUCGUUCGCGUUCAGGUCGUCCGCUCACUCGAUUCCACAUACUAGUUUGGUUAGGUUUUUUUUUUCUUUUUGUUCUGUUUUUUGUUUCUUCACUGGCUUUCUUUGGUUUUUAAAUCGGUUUUCUUUGUUUCCUUCAUGUUUUACUCUUUUGUUUUCCUUUUCACUGGUUUAUCUAUUCCUUUUUUUCUUUGUUUAUUUCUUGGUUUUCUUUGUUUUUCUUUCUUUUGAUGUCAAUCUUUUUACAUACACAUUCAACAAUUUUCGUAUACAUUAGAAACAUUUUAUGUAUACACGUUAACAUUUCCCAGGUACAUGAUUAAUAUUUUUGGAAAACUUCUAUUUUUUAUAUGUACUUUUUGAUACAUUUUGGAUAUAUCAAAAAUAUUUUUAUAGAAGGUUUAACAUUUUUAAAAUACAUGAUUACCUUUUUAUAAACUUAUAUUGUUUGACGUUUACUUUUUUUCAUAGACAUAGUGAGGGGUUAUAUCUAAGGAAUGGGCCCAAGUACAUAUAUGGUACAACCAAAGGCCCAUGUUAAUCAAGGAUGUGGUCCACAAGACAAAUGGGGAAACACACGGGGGCCAAUGGAGCUACAAGGCCAAAUCAUCGGAUACAAGGGGAGAAUCAAGUGUGUACAGUCGGAUUACACAACCCUUGACAGACAAGACUCAUUAGUUGGUCCACUAUAGGAAUCAGGUAAUUUGCCGUCAGCCGAGAACAUACUCGAAGACUUUGCCGUCAGCAAGUUGAUGAUAAACACAGUCAGCAAAGAGCUAAUUUGACGUCAACUUUUCAUCACGUUGAUGACAAAGACUUUGCCGUCAAUUAAACUAUGUGUUUAUCGUCUAUAGAAAAAACACAAACAACAAAGGAAAGCACAUUUGCCAUCAGUAGCUGAUCCGCAUGUGUCGUCAACAAGACUCGUCUUGUCACUAGCCCCAAACAUCACAGAUGGAAAAGAAAUUUUUUAUUUUAAAAAAUCUGCAACGACCACCCUACUUCGCUCAUGUAGCCACCGCCUGGCCGCGCUCGCUGAUGACCCACAAGUGUAGGGGAUCUAUCAUAGUCCUUUCGAUAAGUAAGAGUGUCGAACCCAACGAGGAGCAGAAGGAAAUGACAAGCGGUUUUUAGUAAGGUAUUCUCUACAAGCACUGAAAUUAUCGGUAACAGAUAGUUUUGUGAUAAGGUAAUUCGUAACAGGUAACAAGUAACAAGAGUAAAUAAAGUGCAGCAAGGUGGCCCAAUCCUUUUUGUAGCAAACGACAAGCCUGGACAAAUUCUUAUAUGAAGGAAAACGCUCCCGAGGACACAUGGGAAUUAUCGUCAAGCUAGUUUUCAUCACGCUCAUAUGAUUCGCGUUCAUUACUUUGAUAAUUUGAUAUGUGGGUGGACCGGUGCUUAGGUACCGCUCUUUCUUGGACAAGCAUCACACUUAUGAUUAACCCCUAUUGCAAGCAUCCGCAACAAAAAAGAAGUAUUAAGGUAAACCUAACCAUAGCAUGAAACAUUGACACGGCACAUUAUAAAGAGUUCAAUCCAAAUUUUAUAGUAACACUAUUAUAUUUAAAUAGUGAUUAUUCUAACACAUGGAUAAUUAAUUAAGGCACCAGGUUGCGCUUGUGACCAGGAAAGACAAACUUAUGAACUUGCAAGCAUGGUAAUCAGAUCGACAUCCACACAAUGUCAAUAUGAACAUUGUCUUGAUACAACUUUAUUUGUAUUUUAUUUCAGAAUUUAAACAACUAGUUUGGGCGGGUCACACACGACGUUGUGUGACACUUUAUUUGUCACCGCUGCAUCGACAUAUCCAUCGACUAAACAACGGUGAUCCAACUAUAUAUUACUAGAGACCUUUCCUUAUCAGUAGGCACCAACUCCGGUGCCAACGCUGAAUGGCACACUAGUGGUGGUUCUAUACAAGGGCACAUUGACACGGCACAUCGUUGGCAGGGUACGGAGCGCAAUGGAAGUCAUCACCUCAAGCUGAGCUAUCUGGUGUGGAUGCAAAAAGGUACCCUGUGCCAAUUGUUGUUGUUGAGGUUGUUGCCCGAGUUGCUGCUGCGACUGCUGUUGGGGUUGGGAAACGCAUUGGCCCAACUAUUGCGGUUGCUGCUGCUGAGUUUGGAUGGAACCCUGAACCUGUUGUUGUUCUUGCAGGACGAUGGAGUAGAUGAUAGCACGGAUUGCCUCAUAGCGGGAUUGCUGGGGGAUUUGCGGCAACUGCUGGCAACAUUGUUGUUGCAUCACAUGGCAACUGCUCUGCUGCAACAUUUGCGACCUAGCAAGACUUUGUGGCAUUGCCACAGGGCUGCAUUGCUGCUGGAGGAAUACCUUGCAUGGGUUUAGUUGCUGCAAGAUAGAUGGAUGAACAAAUGGUAUUUGUUGUUGCGGUAGAACUGAUUGUUGUUGUUGCGAAAAUGGUGGUUGUUGCGGUAGUACUGGUUGUUGUUGUUGCGAAAAUGGUGGUUGUUGCUGUGAAAAUGGUGGUAGUUGUUGCUGCGAAAAUGAUGGUUGUUGCGGUAGAACUGGUUGUUGUUGCUGCAAAAAUGGUGGUUGUUGCUAUGAAAAUGGUGGUUGUUGCGAUAGAACUGGUUGUUGUUGCUGUGAAAAUGGUGGUUGUUGCUGUGAAAAUGGUGGUUGUUGUUGCUGUGAAUAUGGUGGUUGUUGUUGCUGCGAAAAUGGUGGUUGUUGUUGCUGCGAUAAUGGUGGUUGUUGUUGUUGCUGUGAACAUGGUUGCUGUUGUGGAAAUGGUUGUGGUUGUUGUUGGAUAGGUUGUUCUUGUUGUUGGUGCCAUAAUGUUUGUUGUGGUGGUAAUGGUUGUUGCUGCGAUGGUCUCUCCAAACCAGGGAUGUGGCUAUUCUCCAUUUGUGCAAUGGCACUUGUCGCCGCAACGGCGAGGAGGGCAAAGAUGAGGAAGGUCUUCAUGGUGGAUUGGUGUUAACUAGUGUUGCUUGGUUUUGAUGCUUGUGCUUGUGACGAUCUUUAUACUUCAUGCCUAUUUAUAGUAGCCCGGGCACCACCUUUUUCUUCUUUGCAUUAGCUUUAAUAAUUUUGUUUGGAUGCAAAAAUGAUUUUUGGUACAAUGUGUUAGGUUGCACUAGCUACACGCGUACUUUUGGAUUGAUCAUCAAAGUUGCUUUUUAGUUGUGCAUAUGAUCACACAUAAAGUACAGAAACCUUGAUGUUUGGUAUAUAUGACUCACCUUAUUCACUUUACAUGUCACACACUUAUCUGGAUAGUAUCACUUUUGCAACCGAGUUUGGAACCUUGUAUAGGCUGUCAUCCAUAAACAAGAAAGGCAAAACUUGUGUAGGACUAAGUGUAGAACUAACUUUGUAUUUUUCCUCUAAAAUGAUUAGAUGAACCGACGCCUAUAGAGCAUGACAUGACUCAUCGAAUUCCCUUUACAUGUAAAGGAUGGUAAUUGCUUACAAGCUACUCCUACUAGCAUAUAUCCGGUCCUAACUCUUGACACGUCAUCAUCAGUUUCGCCUAUUUUUUUAGAUAAAUCAUCAGUUUCAUCUAUUUGUGAAGGGUUUUUUUGGGGGAAAUGAUAGUUUUUUUAUGCUAGGGGGAUUUUUUUGGGGGGGGGGGAUGACGCUAGGGGGAAAUGAUAGAUGGGGCUGGAACAGAGGCCCCCAGCCUGGAGCGAGAGAUUAGGCCCAACAUAAGUGCCGUGUGUUAGGGCACCAAUUCGAUUUGGGCUAUAGUUCUCGUAGGCCCCAACGACACAAGCCCAGCCCACACUCCGCGGAUCUGCGUCCCUCCCUUCCUCGUCCUCCUCGCCGGCCGGACCGCUCGCCGUCGCAGCCUCUCCCGGACGCCCACCGCUCGCGGCCCCUCCACGUACCUCCGCGGCAGCGGAGACGUCAGCCUCCCUCCCACCCUCAACAUCCGGCCCCCCACCACCACCACCACCGCUCGACAAAAAAGGUCACUUUUGAAGCUCCUCCGUCGAUUGUGGGCCGUACGUCGACGGCAGCCACUCCGACCUCCCCAUCAACACAAGGUAUCGAUUUGUUUCGUCUGUCUCUUCCAACGAUUCAAUGCACAUAAAUCCGAGAGGCAGACCCAUCUCCAUGCUAGCUGCACGGAUUAGGAGGGUCAGGCAUCAGAAUUCAGCUGGGAAGCCUGACAGUAAUGUACAUUUGUGGCUUUAGUAGCUGAAUAUAACUAUGUGCUUUCUGAGAAUUUCACUUCAAAAGUUCCAAUAAUCAUCAAAUUUCCCCCUAUGCGCGCUAAGCAGGUGGACCAUAUAUUUCUCAUGUCGACGAACGAAAAAACAAAACUCCACAACUAGAAGUCUAUGAUAUUGACACGGAACCGUGCUGUAGGGUCGCAAGUAAAAAUAUGAAAAGCAUGCCUAAUAAGCGAGAUGACGCAGUUCCUGACCGCCCCGCUACGACUAUUGGUUCCAGCGUGGCGUUUGAAUUAUGCCGCGCUAGAUGUCUUUUGUCCGGCGAGGAACAAGUGGGGUCAAGCGUGCUUCGGCAAUUCCCGCCGUCAGAAGACUUCCUUGUAGUCCGGUGUAGAGGUGAGGUUGUGGGGAGAUACAUCGACUAGCACUACUAGGGAAAAGGCUAGCAGCAGCGCGGGUUUUAGAUGUAUCAGUAGUGCGGGUACCCGCGCUACUAAUACGGCGCUACAGCUAACUCAUAGCAGUAACGCGUGAGCACCCGCGCUACUGCUACACAAGUGUAGCAGCAGCGCGGUUAUGAGAAGCUCGCUACCGCUAGUAGCGCUAGCGCUCUUUGGCCGGACGCUCUACUGCUAUUGAGGCGCUGCUGCUAACUUUUGUACACUCGCUACUGGUAAUUUAAGUAGUUUUUUGGCAUAUUUGUUUUGUAUUUGAACCGGCUUUGUAGAAGAAUCUUUAGCACAUAGAAAUGUCAUCAUGAUACACAUACAAAUGCCUGCGAGACCACAAAUGUAAUCAUAGCAUGUACAUACAAAUAGUCUCUUCAUAAUCAUCAUCCAACACAAAGUGAUAUCUUGUCAUCAUCUCGAAAAUAGCAAUACAUGCAAGUCUCGAAUACUUGCAACUACAACAACGUCAUCCAUCUAAACAAAGGUAUACGCAAGAAGUGCUAUCACUAUGAGUGAGAGCGGAACCAUGCAGUACAUGAGGUGGCGGUUAUGAGUCCUCUCUUGCGCUAGCGUGAACCUCAAGUAACUAGCUUCUCCUUCUUGUCUGCUUUUGAAGCCUUUAUGGCUGGCGCCCGUGAACCCAUUCACUUGCGCCUGACACUCAUGCCACUCGUUGUACACCCCCGGAACCUUCCCUUUGUACACGACAUAGCAUUUCCAUCUCGCCAUCAAGAAACUAGGUACCUGUUAGAGAUGCAUGUUCAUGAAGAGGAUGUACAAUCAUAUAUAUGCAACAAAAUAUACUAGAGCAACACUAAGAAAGAAAGGUUAGCAACUAGAUGCAACAUAUACAUUACGCAAAUUAAUUAACUAGAGGUACGCAGGUCAUCGUACGCAAACUAACAAAGUAGCGUUACGCAAGUUUGGCAGGGACCAUGGACAUCACAAAGUUUCAUCGCUACAAAAAGUAUACAAGUUCAACCGACACAUAUCAUCAUCAUCGGCAUCAUAAAUCACUAGAAGUUCCAUCCUUCCAUAUCAUCGAGGACGAACCCUAGCUGCUUGAACGGCGUGAGGUCUAGACGUUGCAUGCCUAUGCGAGUUCGGACGUCAGCUCGCGAUAUAGGGCCGUGGUGGAACAUCCCCUUCUCAUCGACGACUUCUUUCAUGAUGAUCAUCGCAAUGUCGCUUUGGAUGCGAAAGAAGUCAUCUCUAAGUUUAUAAUUCGCUUCUCCAUGAGAUUCUAGCCACUUGUGGAUAUGAUCAUCAUUUCUGCUGUUAAUGCGAAGCUUUUGGUGAUCCGUGUUGAACUGAAUCAUGAGAUGGACGAUGUAGAAUCCAUCCUUCUUGCUUGGUUUUGGGACGUGGAUGCAGGAGAAGUUAGUUUUAUGCGCGAAACCCAUCUUCUUGUUCCUUUGUUUCCUGAUAUGCACGUGGCCACCUCUAAAGUUGAAGCCUUGGAGAGCAUCAUCUAGAAUAUUCAUUAUGUGGGUGUAGUCCUUUUUCUCGUAGUCUCUAGAAGGGUCAAAAUACACGGCGUGGGAGACUUGCGGGUAAAGAAUGAUAAGGACGGCGCGCCCGUUGCUGCGGGGAAAAGACACCUCAAAUUAUUCCCCAUAUGAGAGAGAAGGAAUGAUUGAAAUGUACGAAAGGGUUGUCCGGAACUGACUUACUUUGGAUGAUAAGGCACGAGGACAAUUUCCCGGUCCUUAUUCUGUACCAUGAAGUUUUGGAGGUACUCCCUAGCAGUUUCACGCUCAAAGUCGCCGAGACUCAAGAAAGACUCGUGCAUGUAGUACGGAUCCGCCACACAGAUUUGCGAGACUUCUUCACUCUUCACGACGGAGCUCAUAUGUAGCGCAAAAAGGCGGACGAUAGUAAAAUCAAGCCGCCUUGUUAGAAACAUCUCAAAGAUAUGGUCAAACCGCAGGAAGAACACCUCCGUGGGCCGUGUGUCGACGUAGCACUUCCCCUCAGGCACACGAGCUGCGUAUGUCGGAUAUCCUGGAUCCUUUGAGGCUAGUAGGCUUUUCUCAGUCGACAGCACGUGGUCGUGCAGUCUCCUGAGAUUCCCUGAUAGUGCCUCCAGCGGUUUCGGCGGUAGCAUCGGCUCGCCCGUGAGAUGGAACAUGACCGCACCUUUCACGGGUACACGCUCUUCAGAAUGCAUCGUCUGGCUGCUGUGUGCUCUGGCUUGUUUGGAGGCAGUUACCUUCCCCAAUCUCUUCCUCUCCUUUUUCUUGGGCACACCUUCCAGACCCUUCCUUAACCCCUGCCCAAGUGUUCCCGGGCUAAGUAUUGUACGACCCUCACGCCCGGCUAGUUGAGCCUGUGUUGAGGCGGCAUCUUCAGGCGUGUCCUGUGAGGAUUUCAUGAAGAGAGACUUUUUGCAUUCCAUGGUACGGCCCUGCCCGGGCAUAUCAUCCAUAUCCUCAUUAGCAAGCUGAUAGCCCGAUUCGUCAUAUGGUUGACUCAUCAUAUCUAUGUCACAGUCAUACGCGUUUGUAUUGAGGUAAUCCAUCGGGUCGACCUCCGUCUCAUCAUCCAUUCUCUGUUCUACAGGAGAAAUUACAUCAGCCAGUACUAUUGCACCCCCUUCAUCAUGUCGUCCGCCGCUCUCACACGGCACUACUACAGGAGCUGGUAAUUGCGUAGGUGGGGUGGUGGUCUCCGCACAUGCUUGCUGAUGUGUGGUAGUUAUUGGUGUGCUCUCGGCCGGCUCCAGACGAAUAAGAUUCUUCGGCCAUAGCAGCACCCAACCCUUGCAGCGUCCAAUCCGCGGCGGGGUCUCGUCGUCCGCUCCCACCUGCUGUACUGGAGGAGGCAAAUCCUCGUGCCCCGAUUUCACACUGGUCAAGCUAACCCUGAAGUGCCCAGCGGGGAUCGGCUGGUUGUGGAAUGUGCGUUGAGAGGGGUCCAUUAUCAUCCCCUUUCCCACGUCCACCUUCUGGCCUUUGAUCAAGUAGAGUAUGGUGCAUGGGGUUUCUUUCGCCUGCAAACACAUAUGUCUGUGGUGUAAAACAACCGAAAGGCAACAAAAAUGGAAUAUUAUAUAUAUAUAUAUGUUGGUGCGACAUGUAAUUACCGUGACGGCGUCGAGCUCAGCCAAAGACGAAGGCCCACCUAGCGCGCCUGAGACUGAGGACGGGCUGCUAUGAGCUGGAGCGGCUGCGAGAGGAGGCCCGGUUGCUUGAGCAAGUGAUGGUGCGAUGGUGUUGUUCAUGGAGUUGCUCGCGACGAAACUGGGCAUUGGGAAAUCAUGUACCGUCUUGUCUGGAUUUUCCUUCGCCCAGUUGAUGAUAACUGGAACCAAGUUAGUAGCGAAAUCAUUUCUGCAGGCAUUUACAGCUGCAUUGACUGCCUGCUGUAGCAACUCAUAUUUGUCCUUGGCUGCUUUUUUCGCGUCCUCGGCUGCUUUUUUCUCGACCGCAAGCUUCACCUUUGCGUCGAUGUCCGCCUAACUAAACUUCUUUUUCUGCUUCUUGGCCUCCGGGCCGUCGUUGUAAAACACCUUCCACGUGGCGCCGUCUCCAGCGCCGUGCACACGACCAUAUUGCGGCCGCUGGUCCAACGGGAGUCCCUUAAGUUCGUUCAAGGCCCAGUUGAGAGGUGUGUCCCACUUGGGCCUCAUCGGAGAAGUAGGGCUUUCGGCUGCAAGCCGGUGUUGCUUCUCCAGUAGUCUAAUCAAUUUCCUCGUGAUCUUGUCCGUGUAAAAAACCUUUUUCUCCUUGUCCCACUUGUAGCGGGCCCUGAUGAAGUCAUGCUCCAAGGGGUUGGUGAACUUCGCGAAGGGGUCUGGGAGACCCGCGGCUUCACGUUCCGCGUCCUCCUUAUCCCAUAUGGGCCUUUUACCGAGGUAGCCACGGCUUCCGAGGCGAUGCUUCCCCAUGUUCCGGAGCUGAAGGCUUUUGAAUUUCGCAGCCUUAGCCUUGGCUGCCUUGGUAGCGCAAGUGUCCUUGAACUUUUCGAACUCCUCUUCCGUAAGUGUCGGAUUUUCCUCCAGAAUCUUGGACAGGGGUUCAUCAGCCUCAAUAGCUCGUUUCACCCUCCCUUUCCAGGAGGCCAAAUCAUUGCUGAACAUGCCCAUGGCGUGAUUGUUAAUCUUUUUCAUCUUCGGAUCAUCCCACGGUUGUUCUAUGUUAUCAUCCCGGUCGGGGAACUUGAAUCUCUUCUGCAACUUCGUUAGGAGCAACUGCGUCAAAUGUUCUUUACUCCUUAAGUCAUCAUCGUUGAUGCUCGCGCAUUCCCGUAGGAUGCAUCCUACUUGGUUCCCAUAGCACUUGCGAGGUUCUUCCGGCUCUAACGGCUCAAACUUUCCAGGUGCCAUCUUUGUGAUCACAAGUCGUCCAAUCCCUAGUUUGUUAGGUUUUCGUAUCCUCUGCUUCUUAUGCUUCCUCUUUUCGGUAUCGGCAUCGGGGCCGGUACCUUCCCCGCCGGUCUCGGCGCCGCCAUCGGUGCCGGCGCCGUCGGUGCCGGCACCGUAGGUGUCGAUGUCGGCGUCAGUACCAUCAUCGAGGCCGACCUGCAAACCUUGCUUAGCAGUCAAAUAGUCGAGGUACUCUUGUUCACCCUCAUAAUCCAUCUCGUCUGCAUCUUGGUCAGAAGGCCCAGUUUCUUCGUUGUUCGACAUGUUUCCUAUGAUUAAGUGGCCUCAUUUAUUUCUAAAAGUAUGAAUAAAUGAGAAAUGACAUAAAAAGAAAUCUAUGUGCCAACACUCGAUAUGCCAACUAUGUAGCACAAAUCAUGCCUUUAUUCACGGGAAAUUUCGGCAUGACCUUUGCUAAAAAAUGGACAUAUCGAGCGCCUGAAAUUCACCGAAACGGAAAUGAAUCAACAUUCCUGCGCAACAUAGGCCACUCGGAUCAUUUUCCAAACAUGACAUGUCCAAAACAUGACAUAUGCACAUAUCACAUGUCCAGUUCAAAUUUCCAUAUAAAUUCAGCUAAUUCAUAACUAAAUAGAUAACCUAAUUAAUUAACAUGAAGANNNNNNNNNNNNNNNNNNNNNNNNNNNNNNNNNNNNNNNNNNNNNNNNNNNNNNNNNNNNNNNNNNNNNNNNNNNNNNNNNNNNNNNNNNNNNNNNNNNNNNNNNNNNNNNNNNNNNNNNNNNNNNNNNNNNNNNNNNNNNNNNNNNNNNNNNNNNNNNNNNNNNNNNNNNNNNNNNNNNNNNNNNNNNNNNNNNNNNNNNNNNNNNNNNNNNNNNNNNNNNNNNNNNNNNNNNGGGGGCGAGCGACAUGGUCGGGGGCGAGCACGCCGGAGUCGGGGUCGAGAGCGGGACAGGGGCGAGCGCCGGGGCUGGCACCGGCGCCGGCAGGGUCGGGGGCGAGCGCCGGGGCCGGGUCGGGCACGGCGGAGCGACGGGGGCCGGAGAGAGAGUGGGGAUUUGGGGGGAAAUGGCGGGAUGAAGCUGGGCGAGUGCGAAUUUUGGGUUAAGUGGACGUAGCAGUAGCGGGUUAUGUCAAAACGCGCUGCUACUAUAUUCUGUAGCGGCAGCGGUUUAUGAGAAACACGCUACUACUAUGGUGCGUAGCUGCAGCGCUUUAUGGGAAACUCGCUACUACUAUGGUGCGUAGCGGCAGCGGUUUAUGAGAAACACGCUACUACUAAGAUCUAGCAGCAGCGGUUUUGUGGAAACGCGCUGCUACUGCCGUCGCUACUGCCAGGUUUCCUUUUUCUUUUCCUUUAUUUUAUCCCACUUUUAUUUCCCGAGGGCAAUGAACGAAGGGAGGGCGAUAUAUAUUGCAUCAUUUGACGGUUAAAUAUGUAUGCAAAAUAGGAACAUAUAUAUUACACAUCAUUGGACCCAUGCAUAAUAAUGACUAAGUGUGUAUACAAAUUAAAUAGGAACAUAUAUAUAUUACACAUCAUUGGACCCAUAACAUACGUUUCCUCAGUGCUGACGUUUUCGUUUUUGAGUCAGCUUCUUUCCCUUCUUGUUCGUCGAAGAAUAAUUGAGCCCCUCAUUGUGACUUUGCCUUUUCCAUGGAGUACGAUUUUUCUUAGGUAAUGUAGUAUUGAUUCUUCUUUUGACGUAUACUUCAUCAUCAUCAUCAUCUUCCCUCAUUGGGUUGCUGUACUGAUCAUAGUCUUCCUCGUUGGCGACUCCAUCCAUUCCAAUGAUGUUCCUUUUGCCUCUCCUCACGACAACACGGCUGGGAUUGCGCGGGUCAGUUAUGAAGAAACAUUGUGUCACGUGCUUAGCGUGUACCCAUGGCUCGUUUUUUGCGAUAGCGUUCAUGGUAGCGCUCUUGGCGUCGGGUAUAGUCAUGGUAGUGAACAUCCGGCUUUCUCUUUCGACAUUCUUAGCCCAUCUGACACGGAACAUCAUCGUGCUGUGCAGUCCAGAGUAGUCAAGCUCCCAGAUCUCCUCGACCCUUCCAUAAAAUCGUUCAGUUGUGCCGUUGUCGCUGCCGGUCAUGCAUUCCAUCGUCACCCCUGAGUUCUGAUCAUCACUGUCCAUAUCUUUUGCCUCUGUGUAGAAUGUGUAUCCGUUGAUAUCAUAUGCCUGAUAGGUUACGAGGUUGGGCGAGGGGCCAUGUGCUAAGGCGUAUAUGAGCAAUCCGUCCUUAGAGCCCUCCUCCGGUGGAUUAGCAAUAAUAUGCUCUUUGAACCAAUGCAGGAAAGUGGAGUUGUGCUCUCUAGUAACUUCGGCGUCCGUCCUGCAUACCCCCCGGUCACGAUACUUCUUUGUGAUAAUUUCUUUGUGCAGUGCCACGAAAGGAUCUACCUCGUCUAGGUGUUGUAGCACUACCAAGUUUGCUCUGUCAAAGUCGCUGCGUCGAUCUGAGUAUGCCACGUGCAGUUCCCUGCGACCGUUGCAGUGACCAUCUCCUUUGAGCCUCCCAUCGUGCUUGUUAACGGGCAAACCAACACUAACACCAGGCGGCUGGUCUGCGCCAUAUAAAAAAUUCUCACAGAAAGAGAUGCACUCUUGUGCCAAAUAGCCCUGGACGAUGCUUCCAUCCGGACGGGACAUGUUACGAACGAAUCCUUUGAUGAUCCCAUUCAUCCACUCAAACGGGAUCAUGUUGUGCAGGAAUGACGGCCCCAGGUCUAUUAUGUCAUCCACAAUAUGGACACACAGAUGCACCAUCACGUCGAAGAACGCGGGCGGGAAGUACAUCUCAAGCUCAUUCAGUAUCACAACGAUCUCUUCCUGUAGCCUUUGGAGCUGCUUCACACUGAUCGACUUUCGAGAGAUGACAUCGAAAAAGUUGCAGAGACCAAUAAGCGUGUCACGGACGUGCUUGUCCAUUAUCCCUCUAAGGGCAACAGGUAGUAUCUGCGUCAUCAUCACAUGACAGUCAUGAGACUUCAUCCCGCUGAACCUUUUCUUGUCCGUGUCUAGAUAUCUGCUUAUCUUGCCACAGUAACCGGAACUAACUUUCACUCCGGUAAGGCACUUAAAGAAUUGAUUGAUCUCAGCCUGACUUAAGGUGAAGCAAGAGGGGGGGCAAUAAUCUUCUUUCUUUAAUUUCUUGCCCUUCUUCUCCCGUGCCUCUGUCUUCGUCUCUGUCUCGUCUGACAUUUUACGGGGCGGCAUCUGCAGAUCUUCCCUGAUUUUCAAAUCUUGCAAGUCUUUUCUUGCCUUCGGCCCAUCCUUGGUCUUAUCCGGCAUGUUCAUCAGUGUUGCGAGCAAGCUCUCAAGGACAUUCUUACAGAUAUGCAUUUGAUCAAGGCAAUGAGGUGUAUCGAGUUUGUGCCAGUACUCCAAGUCCCAGAACACGACCUCGUCUUCCAUACCUUCAGCAGCGGCUCCGGCGCCUUUCUCAUCGUCUUUCCCGGCGCGGGGCACUCAUUCCAGUUUUUCAAUAGCUCAUCGAUUUCGGCACCGCUCCGCUUACGUGGAGGUCCUCGAUGCUCAGCGUGACCAUUGAAUAGAUCUCCACGGUUUCUCCACGGGUCGUCCUGUUCAAGCCAUCUUCGAUGCCCCAUGUACAUGAUUUUCGCAGACCCGCCAUCUUUCCUUGACGUUAGCUGCUGAGACGUUGUAUCAUCCAUGCACCGCGUGCAUCCGCAAUAUCCAUGGCACACCUGGCCUGCCACAUAUCCGUAACCGAGAUAGUCCUGCACUGUCGUGAUCAGCGCGGCUCUCAUGUUGAAAUACUCACCUUUGCUGGCGUCCCAUGUCUUGGCCGGUGUUUUCCAUAACGUGUCUAACUCCUCUUGAAGUAGCCCCAGAUACAAAUUAAUAUUAUUUCCUGGUUGUUUCGGCCCUUGAAUAAGCAUGCUCAUGUGAAUGUACUUCGAUUUCAUACACAACCAGGGGGGGAGGUUGUACAUCCAUACAAACACGGGCCAUGUACUAUGGUUGGUGUUCUAGUUGCCAAAUGGAUUCAUGCCAUCGGUACACGCGCCGAGCACGAUGUUCCUUGCAUCACAUUCAAAAUACCGUUAGAAGCUGUUCAACGCUCUCCACUGGCUUCCAUCCUUCACGUGUCUCAGCUUCGGAUCAUCUCCAUCGUCGGGCUUCUUCCUCUCCGCGUGCCAGCGCAUUAGCUUUGCUUCCUUGGGAUCUACAAAAUACCUCUGAAGACGGGGAGUGAUCGGUAAGUACCAUACAACUUUCUGGGGACAUUUCUUCCCGGCCUUCUUGUAUCGAGAAGCAUUGCACACCGGACAGCUUGUUUUUUCCGCGUGCUCCUUCCGAUAAAUUAUGCAAUCGUUGAUGCAUGCAUGGUAUCUAACGUGUGGCAGAUCAAGAGGGCACACGAUCUUCUUGGCCUCAUCAACACUAGUAGGACAUAGAUUACCCGCGGGAAGAAUAUCCUUUAGGUACUUGAGAUGGUCAUCGAGGCUAGUGUCGGUCCAUUUGUUUUUAGCCUUCGUCUUCAGGAGUUGGAGCGUGAAACUCAACCGGGUCACCUCAGGAUUGCAACCAUCAUACAAUGGAGUGUUCGAGUCUACCACCAGUUGCUCCAGCUUAGCCUCCUCUCUAGAAGCAGCUCUCUCAGUACUCGUCUCCUUGCGAAGCAAUGCUUGAACAUGAGGGUCCCGCACAAUUGAACUUAGUACCGACGAACUCUGCUGCGUGGAGUCCAUGUCGUUCUCUCCGCCGCCAUGUCCGGCCCCUUCUCCUCCGCCAUGUCCGGCCACUUCUCCGCUGCCAUGUCCGGCCUCUUCCCCGCCGCCAUUAUCGAUCAUCUCUUCGUCUUGCCCCGUGUCAUCAUUGCCUGCCCCGUCGGCAUCCUCAACAUCUUCAUCCUCAUCUUCAAUUAUCCACCGAGUAUAGCCAUCCAUGAAACCAGUCAUGAGCAGGUGCGCUUCGACACGACCAUCGUCAUGGGGGUCGAGCCAAACUAUUCCUUUGCAUUUUCAACACGGACAUAAAACCUCUGUCCGGUUAUUUUCUUUCAUGUCUUGCACCGCCGACCGCAACCACCUGUCCACCAUUGUUCCACUGACCAUCGUCAACUCUGCACGGUAAUAAUAAAAAAAUUGAUUGUAAAAAUGCAUGCAUGCAUCAAAGUCAUAAAAAAAUUUGGCAUGACCUUCCCUAAAAAUAGGACAUAUAUGGAUCUAGAGUUUGCCCGAAAUUCGCCGAAACGAAAAUAAAUCGACAUUUCGGCAAAACAUAGGCAACUCAAAAGCACAAUUUGGCGGCGUCAACUCAUGCCACAGACACAAUUUCCACAAACAUAUCACACAUACACAUAAACACAUUUCCAUUUUGCAAAAGCAUGAAAUUUUCAUCACCUCUAUCUCGAUGGCCGGAGAUGAUGUUGUAGGGAGAUCAAAAGUGCACAAAGCUAUUCUUGACAAAGAUAGAUCUAGUUAGGGGGCAAAUAGGUCACUUAACUAAAUCCUACAUCUACCUAGCUACCUAAUUUGGAAGGAGACAACUUCAACUAGUGGAGGGGGAGGAAAAAGAGAAAGAAGAUGCAUUAAUUAAUGGAGGUGGUGUAGUUAUGUAGGAGUAAUGAAGAGAGAGAAGGUGGAUAGAGAANNNNNNNNNNNNNNNNNNNNNNNNNNNNNNNNNNNNNNNNNNNNNNNNNNNNNNNNNNNNNNNNNNNNNNNNNNNNNNNNNNNNNNNNNNNNNNNNNNNNNNNNNNNNNNNNNNNNNNNNNNNNNNNNNNNNNNNNNNNNNNNNNNNNNNNNNNNNNNNNNNNNNNNNNNNNNNNNNNNNNNNNNNNNNNNNNNNNNNNNNNNNNNNNNNNNNNNNNNNNNNNNNNNNNNNNNNNNNNNNNNNNNNNNNNNNNNNNNNNNNNNNNNNNNNNNNNNUGUGGUGGAGGGAAGAGAGGAGAGGGGGAGGUAGGGGGGAAGGGAAAAAAGGAAGGGGGAGGGGAGGGACGGGUUGGGGGUUGGUGGGGUUAGCAGUAGCGCGGGAGAUAAAACGCGCUGCUGCUAAGAACUUAGCAGCUGCGCGCUUUGCGGUAAGGCGCUACUGCUAACUGGGACAAAAAAUUGUGGCAAUUUGAAACUUACCAGCAGCGAUCUCGAGGAAACCGCGCUACUACUACGUACUUAGCAGUAGCGCUGUUAUUGCGACCGCGCUACUGCUACUUAGAGUUGGGGGAACACCGCCGGUCGAUAUUUGUAGCAGCGCGUUUCUUGUCGAGCGCGCUACUGCUAAAUCUUUAUCAGUAGCGAGUUUACGUAACCCGCGCUACAACUACUUAGCAGCAGCGCUCUAUUUUGAACCGCGCUGCUGCUAAGAUUCUGUGUAUAGGCUUUUCCCUAGUAGUGUAGGAAGGAAUGACCACAUGAAUGAGCAUACGUAUGAUGUGAUUAAGUCUCUCGAUUGGGUAUCUGGUGCCUUAUGUACGGUGUCUUCUUUUUGUCAAGCUAUGACAUCUUUCAGUUUGAGUGUCUGAUAUUAGGGUUGCAUACGUUUUGUUAUUCAGUUGCCUGUUGUGAACUCUACGGUUAUAUCAUCUCGAUGUGUGAGUCAAUGUGUUUGAACCAAUGUAGAGUUUCAUGUGAAUGUUACAAGUGUGAUUGAUAUGUUCAUGUUAUCCGCGGUUGCCUUGGUAAGAAACUGAAAGAGCAAACCGUUAUCGUGCUAGGACAAAAGUCAUCACUCAAUAUAAGUGCUUCUCUAGAACAGCCACACCUUGUGAAAGAAGAUGGCAAACACCCAAUCAUGUCUGGUUCGAUAUGGGCGUGGCUAUGGGUAGCUUAUAGCGACAUGGAAGCCAGCAUCGCUGGAAGAAACGCCCGGGUGGGCCGGCCUAGAGACAUUUCUUGAUAUCUACCCUUAGUUUUGUUUUUCUGCCCUUCUUUCUUUAUAUUUAUAUUUUUCCCGACAUGUUCACUACUUGAUGCUCAACUGGGAUCUCAUCCUUCACAAAUACGGAGAGCCAUUAUUGUUAGAGUUAAUCUUGACAUGUGUGUAUGUGCAUGUGUGCAUUGCAUGUUAGUGGUCUAGAGAUGGCCGGGUCGAUGCGUCUGUUCUGUGCUGGAGUGAGUCCAGCAGUUUGUUUUGGUCAGGUCGUGGUGGCUAGAGCCAUUCUAGGAGAGGAUCAAGUCAAGUUGUUAGCUGAACUCGGCUGGGUAGUGUUUGGCCGUUGAGGAUAGGCUGUACUAGUGGUGGGCAUGGCCGUGCAUAUAGCUAGCGAUUAGUUACACUAGUAGAAAACCACCCAUUAGUCCCGGUUCGUAAGGGCCUUUAGUCUCGGUUCAGGAACCGGGACUAAUGGGUCGUUACUAAUACCUCCACCCAUUAGCCCCGGUUCAAACACGAACCGGGACCAAUGUGCCUCCACGUGGCCCUGUGCGGCGAGCCCAGUCAGGGGGCCUUUGGUCCCGGCUGGUGGCUCCAACCGGGACCAAAAGGCAUCCACGCGUCUGCAUUCUAGUGGUUUCUGGUUUUUGUUUUUUUUUUGAAAGGAGGGGGGUUGGGGGUUUUGGGGAGUUAAUUUAGGUGUUUCGUAUAUUGUGUUAACUAGCUAAUUAAUAGAGAGAAGUGUCCUCUCUUAUGUCCGUGCUUGGUCGACGCUACGUAGUAUAUAUACAUAAGUAAUCGAGAGAACCAUUCAGUACAGAAGUUCGUCAUGCAUACCGAGAGAAGUGAUCGAUCGACCUCUCCUUCUCCGAGAGAUUGGUCGAACAACAAGUUUUUUACUGGCUACAUACAUGUACAAUAUGUAUAAGAUCUCUUAAUUACAAACCCAUAGCAUUUGAAAUCAACUUCCACAUGGUAUUCUCCGGCUUUACUGAUGACGUGUUCAAGAAAGAAUCCCGCUAAUUCCUCUUGAAUUGCUUUCAUGCGAUCUGGUUCUAGGAGUUCACCCCGCAUCUGCCACGUCUAAUUAAUUUGAAGAAGGGGGUUAAUUAAUACAUAUAUAUGAAUGAAACUCAACAGAAAAUGAUGGUGUAAUAAAAUGAAAUUGUGAAUAUUAUUGCUUACGCACUUCAUAUUGUCUUCUAGAGUAGCCCCGCUUGUUUCUCAAAGUUGCGUUGUGGAUGAACUCGCACACGUAGUAUCCACAAAAAUCAUUCCCUUCCUCCUGUCACAAGCACUUUACGAGAAACAGAGGUCAAUCAAACUGAUAAUGAAGCAUUAUAAAUGGCAUUGAUGAAAGUAUAGCUAUAGAAUCAACGGGAGAUGCACGCAACUAGCUAGCCAGUAGUACUUACUUUCGGGUAUACAUAUCGCAGCUCCUUCGGCAGUCCCGGAGCUUGUGCGGUGAACUGUUUCCGAACCCUGCAAGACAAAGAAAAUAAUUAUUAUUACUUGAGAUAUCAGGAAAUGAACAAAAAGUUGCCGAUAUGGUGCGAUAAUGAUCGAUUGAACUUACUUGCUGAGCAUUUCAGUCAUGUCCACAUAGGUGCUGGGAUCUUUCCGUCUCGAGUCUAAGACGGUUACUAGUCCACGCUCAAGCUUAAUCUCCAGAAGAAUAUAGUGGUACCUGCGCACGCGUGCAUAACUCAUCAAUUACAUUAACCUCGCUCGAGUAAUAAGGGAAACCGAAUAUGCACACGACAGUAACACUCACGGGCCGUUGUAAGGAAAGAGUAUGGUAUCUUUGUUUUGAUUUUUGAUCAACGAUUGUAGCAAGUUGUCCUCGGCCUCUUCGACGUUCUUUUCAACCAGAAAUACAUCUAUGAUAUUUGUGUUAAUGAACCCAAUAUCAUAAAUUUUUUGUUUUUUGCACUCGACGAUCUUCAAUCUGCAUAAUAUAUUGAGGAUAAUUAAUUAUAAAUACAUGCAAUGAAAGAUCCGAGCUAUAUAUAGAGACUUAAUGUCAGAAAUAGUACUUACAUGCAGUAGCAAAAGACCAUUAAUUUAUCGAGGGCCUUUUGAUUGAAGAACUCAAAGAACUCCUCAAAUGGAACACACAACAGAUCAUUUGAAAUGAGGUCGUGCUCCUCUUUAAUAUUCAAAUACAAACUGUUCGUCCCCUCAGACUCUCUGCAGGUUUUCAUGUACCAAUUAUGGAAUCUUCGCAUCAUUAUUGUCAGAGAUUUUUCAUCUUUGACGAGAGGCUUCCCGUACUCGUAUCUGAAUACGUCCACCUCCAUGAAAUCAGGAAGUGCAUCGUCAGGCAGGUAAUCUUCAAGAUUGCCAUAACCGGCCACCGUCCCCGGAGGAUUAGACACAUUGAGCGGGGGGCACGAUUGCUGUGCUUGUUCGCCGAGCUGGGCAAUUUUUUUCCCCUUUGCUCGUUGUUCUUUUGACCUUUUAUCAUUGACAGUAGUUCCCGACCGCUUGGCUUGGAGAUAUGUCUGUUCAGUAAUGCGCUCAUAGUUGGUUCUCGGCGGAGACUUUGGUGGUUUCCUCAGGGCAUCGAGAGUGCGCUUUGCUUUCACCGGAUCUACCUUCUCCUCCGGAGGUGGAUGUCUCUUUGCUUUCACCCCUUCAAAGAACUCCUUCACGUGGGCCUGCACGAUCGUAUUGUUUUCCUCCUUGGUCCUCUCGUACGGUAACUUCUCUAGAGGCUUUAGAGGUGGACCGUAUCUGUAUUGCCUCUCUCUUCUUGUGCUGCUAGACGCCGGAGCAGACGGAGCGGCUGUGGCGUCUGUCUUCUUCCGUGCUUGCUUAUGAGGCGGAGGAGAAGGACUACGACGCGCCGGAGCAGCCGGGGCGGCGGCGGGUCUCUUCCGCCCUUGCUGGCGAGGCGGAGAGGAGGAGGCGGAGUGCCGCCACAUGCCGGAGAAGGAGGCGGAGUGCCGCCAUGCGUGCCCUGAUCGUCACUCGCCGGAGGAGGAGGCGGUGGAGGAGGCGGAGUGCCGCCACGCGUGCCCUGAUCGUCACUCGCCGGAGGAGGACGCGGUGGAGGAGGCGGAGUGCCCUGACUCGCUGAAAGAGGAGGAGGAGGCGGAGGCGUCCAGUUCAGAAGGUUGAUGAGCUCCUUCUGCCAUAGGCAUGGAGUCUUCAGAGCAGAACCCAGCCUAGUCUCCCCUUCACCGGUAGUGUGCUCAAGCACGAGGUCCUCAAAUCCCUCCGUUAUUUCAUCCACCAUCACCUUAGCAAAUCCUUCUGGAAUUGGCUGGCAGUGAUAAGUUGUGCCGGGUCCACUAGGAUAAACUUGGCCAACAGCCGCCUUGACCUUCAAAUUCAUCCAUCACACAAUAAUGUGGCAAUUUUGAGACUCCGUGAUACCAUCCACGGGAUAGCUGGCAGGAGCCGUCAAGACAUGCUCCGGCUGAAGCAGCUCAGUGGAAGCCACGCUGCUUCUCUGCUGAGAUGGCGGGGUAGCUUCGGGGGAAGCUUCGGCAGGUCGUUUGUUGUGAUCUGCUGCUUCUUGUUCCUCUAGCCCCAUUACCCUUUCGUGCAGCGCCUGCAUUUGGUCCUGCUCCAGUUUCUUCCUCCUCUCGUAGGCUUUGUAAACGCCUGCGUCCAGAAAACCAACCUUCCACGGAAUGGAGCCUGGCGUGCCUCGUGUCCGUCCAGGGUGCUCGGGAUUCCCAAGGGCCAUUGUGAGCUCGUCCUUCUCCCUGUUUGGAAGGAACGUCCCUCGUUGUGCUGCAUCGAUAUAGUGUCGAAGGUUCUUGACUGGUGUUUGCAGUUGCUCGUCCGUCCACUGACGCUUCCCUGUUACAGGGUCCAAGGUUCCGCCAGCCCCGAAGACCCAAGUCCGGCAACGGUCUGGCCAGCGCAUUGUCUCUGGUUCGAUUCCUUUUUCAAGCAGAUCAUGCUCAGCCUUGGACCACUUAGGCCGGGCUUUGAGGUAGCCACCUGACUCCGUGCGAUGGUGAAGCUUCUUCUUCGCAGCAUUUUUCUUGUUUGUCUCCGACAUCGUCUUACUCUUUUCCGAUGUCUUGUGGGCCACAAAUGCGGGCCAGUGAUCUUUGAUCUUCUCAUAUUUGCUGAUGAAUUCUGGUGUCUUUUUUUUCUCGAGAAACUGGUUCAGCUCUUUCCUCCACCUCCUCAUUAGGCUUGCCAUCUUCUUAAGAGCACAAGACUUGAUUAAUUGCUCUUUAACUGGCUUCUCCGGAUCCUCCUCUGGCGGUAGGGUGAAAUUUGCCUUCAGCUCAGUCCAAAGAUCUUCUUUCUGCAUAUCAUUGACAUAAGACACCUCAGGGUCUUCAUCCUUAGCAGGCUUAUACCAUUGCUGGAUGCUGAUCGGGAUCUUGUCCCUAACAAGAACCCCGCACUGAGCAGAAAAUGCCUUCCUUGUCCGGAUGGGUUCAAUCGGUUCGCCGUCGGGCGCGAUUUCUAUGAUCUCAAACUUUUCAUCCGAGAUCAACUUUUUCUUCGGGCCUCGUCUCCUUACCGAAGUUGUGCUCGAUCCGGAGGGCUAGAAAUUAUAAGGAAGAAAGACGACAGUAAUUAAUAUGUGUACAUAUACCAAAACAAUGGAUGCAUCAAUUAACUAGUCAGCACGGGCUUAACUAAUAUAUAUAUACCUGGCCGGACUCGGUUCGGUGACCGGAGCAGUCAGCACGGUCUCCUUGUACCUCCAUUGUGUCACCGGAGCCAUCAUGAACAUAGUCCUCCUCUUGUACCGGCAUUAAUGGGUCGAAGCCAUCAUAAACAUAGCCCUCUUCUUCAUCCAGUCCUUCCAGCUGACCAUCGGUGUCGAUGAGAAAUGACGCAACAUCAUCACUUCCAUUUGCGAUUAUGUCCCCCAACAUCGCUUCUGUUUCUUCGUCUCGGGAGUGCUCCAUAGUUUCUGCAAAUAUUUACAACAUGUCAAUUAUUAUUCAAACAUGGUACAAAUGGAUAUAUAUAUAUAUAUAUAUAUAUAUAUAUAUAUAUAUAUAUGAAAAUGGAUUGGUACUCCUAGGAGUACAUACUCUCACCUACACCCGUCAUCGUUGGAAACAUUCAUCCCGCUAACUACUAAAAAAAGAGCUAACUAACUACGGAUAAAGCCUUUGGAUUUAAAAAUUAGUUGAACCGCUUCCUUUUUUUUCAGCUCUCGUAGGCGUGCCUUCCAGGGAUUCCAUUUGAAACGGCGUUCUCAUCUCUUGCCAGCACCCAUGAACAUAAAAAAACAGAGCAUCGGCUCGCCUCCGCCCCGCCGACUGACCGGAAGACUUGGUCGACAUGGCCGACGAUGAUCCCCGUGCUUCUUCCCUCGCAAACUAGGCUUCAACCACCACGUCCAUCAAUCAGAGGAAGAUUGAUUCAUCAUCUGUAGUUUGCGAGGGUACGUGCAAUUGAUGUUUCCCGAUUUUUCUGUUCGGCUACCACAACCGUGUUCAUGUUCCCGCUGACCCCUUGAUCCAUUCCUGUCCAGUAUGUCAUCGUCCGAGAAGAAAAUAGGACGGAGAUGAUUGAUCGGCCAGAUUGAUCGGCCAAGUCUACUAGUACCACUGGUGGAAAAAAGGCCUUUGGUCGCGGUUCGCAACUGCCAUUAGUCGCGGUUGCGCAACCGCGACCAAAUAAGCGCGACUAAAGCCCCCCACCUUUAGUCGCGGCUGCUUAAGAACCGCGACUAAAGGCCCGUCCAUGUGGGCGCCAGGCGGCCGUCGGGACGGAGGACCUUUAGUCGCGGUUCUUCUGGCCAACCGCGACUAAAGGCCGCCACAGGUUUAGGGUUUUAGCCCCCCCCCUAAACCUGUUUUCUGUUUAAUUUGUAUUGUUUUAUUUCUUUUGUGCUUUAUUUUAAUUUUGAAGGAGUUUCAUAUAUUCUACGGUACUACAUACAUGCAUAUGAAUGUACAAUUUCAAAUAAAUUUGAAAUUAGAACCAAAAAGAAUUCAAGAGGAAUAUACAAUAUAUAUUCAAUAUCAUCGGAUGACCAUAUACAAUUUUGAACAAGUUUCCAUACAUGAUUUAAUGCAUAUAAAGUUCUACGUCCUCGUAAUAGUGUUCUCCUUUAGGAUGGAGGACUUCCCUGCUGAACCAUCCAGCUAGUUCCUCUUGAAGUGGUCGGAAGCGAGCUUCUGGACUAAGCAUCCACCGGAGGUUAUUCCUCUGAGCAUUGGUAUCACUCGGAACCCGCUCAGAGGUGUAUCUCCGGAUCAUCUCACAGACAUAGUAUCCACAUAGAUUGGUCUCCGGUGGCUGAAUAUCCCCAGCAUUCUUAGCCACUGACCUUUUGAAUUCUAGCUCUUUUUUGAAUUCACCGACCUUUGUAUCUACGAACCGUCUCCAAACCCUACGAGGCAAAGAAAAUUAAAUGAACAAGAGAGUUAUUAGUUACUUGAUAUUAGGAAAUGAACGAAAUAGGCCGAUUGAUAUAGAGCGCAAAUGAAUGAAAAUAAUUACUUCUGCAGCAUUCUUCUCAUGCCGCCCCAAAGCUUUGGAUCCAUAUUCACAGAGUCGUGGACGAGACAUUCUGAGGUGUUAACUUUAAUUACUAGCAGAAUCCAGUGGAACCUGCGGACACGAUACAUGCACAGUACGUCAUGCAUAACUCAUCGAUUAGCCGGCCACAUACCAUGCAUGGAGUAAACAAAAGAGAAUGUGCUCAAGACACAAACACUCACCCAAAAUGGUAAGGAAAUAGAAUAUCACUUUUGAGUUCCUGCUUUGUAAGAAACUGCCACAGGUCUACCUCCACGUCGGCGGGGUGACGCUCCAACACAUGUCCAUUAACGAUGUGUGGGUCAAUGAACCCAACAUCAUGGAUGUUCCUUACUCUGCAUUCCUUAAUCUUCAUUCUGCAUGUAUAAUAGCGGACACAACAAUAUAGUUAGGACAUAUAUAUAGUGCAGGCAAUAUGAACGAGAUGGGGUAGAAAUUAAUAAAUCACUUACAGAACGUAGCAACUGAUGAUAGAUUUAUCGAGCUCGCGCAGAUUGAAAAGCUGGAACAAUUCACUCAGUUCAAUUUGUACAUAGUAAUGUUUGAAGUGAUGCUCAUGUCUAACUUCCGCAUAAAUAUAUUCUUUGGCGUUUUUAUUUUUUAUGUAACCCUUGUACCAUUUCAGCAGACCUUUCAUUUGUGGAGGUAGAUCCUUUUCCUGCGCAGGCUCGACGAGAGGCCCAUUCUUGACAUAUGUAAUUACUACCUCCUUCACUGGCGCCUCAUCAAGGCCUAACAGUUCACGAAGAGUAAUACCUAAGUUGGCCGCUUGUUCUAUGGCACUCGUUACAGUCAAUCCCUGUGCUGCCGCAGCUUGUAUGAUCUCGGGGGCAUCCGGACAGAAGGCUUCCACUAUAAGCGGGGCAAUCGAUUGUUUACUUUGUUCCCCGAGCUGGGCAACUUGUUUCCCGCUUUUUUUACUUUCGGCCUUCUCCCGCUCUUUGUUCUCCUUGAACAUGAGUGCCUGCCUGCGAAGUUCACGUGCAUAGUCGUUAGGCAGAUUCUUCGCGGCUUGGGACGGUGUGCUCAAAAAUGACUUAGCCCACUUGUUUUGCUCAUCAGAAAAUACUGGCUUGGGCUCGAGCUCUCUUUUCUUCUUGCAGUCCGCCUUCCAUUUCUCCAAAUCAGCAGCCGCGGCCGCGUCGACUUCCUCGGCACUACGUUCCCAAGGCCUUGUGGGGAGAGGCUUCAGUGAUGGCUCCGGUACCUUUGUGGUCUUAGGUACAUAAGGGUCCGGGUUAAUAAUCCAGGACUGCUUCUGCUUCUUUGCCGGAGGUGGAUUGGGGGGCGGCGUCUGAUCACCCGCCGGACGAGGACUGGGGGGCGGCGGCUGAUCACCCGCCGGACGUUGUGGACUGGGGGGCGGCGUCGGCUGACGUGACGGAGGUGUAGGUGAACCGCCACCACCACCACCACCACCACCACCGCCACCGCCACCACCACCACCGUAGGGGGGUGGACUUGUUGUCCUUGGCGCCUCGCCUGGAAACUUGAUAAACUUCUUUUGCCAUAGAAUGAAAUGGCGCUUGACAUCUCCAAGUCUUUUCUCCCCUUCAGGUGUAGCAAUGUCAAUCUCCAGGUCCUCAAACCCUUGGACUAUGUCCUCCACCGUGACACGAGCAUAGCCAUCUUGAAUGGGGUUGUUGUGGUGGAGUGCUCCAGGUAAACAUGGUAAAGCACUGCCGAUGGCUACCUUCAUGGACAUGUUCCCGAUAGGAUAAUACAGAUGACAUUCUUCUCCGCUGCUGGCUUCCGAGAUCUGCUGGAUGAUCUUCAUGCUGCACCCGAGCUGCAUCUCUUUCGGCUACUAGUACACUCAUGGUUUUCUUCAUCACAUCCAUUUCCGAUGCCAACCGCGCCACAACAUCUGCUUCCCGAUCCACCUUUCUCUUACGGCUUCUGUAACCGUACGGGUCAUCGUUCUGGGGGAACCCUAUUUUCCACGGAAUGUGCCCCAUGCCUCGUACACGUCCUCCGUGUUCAGGAUUCCCGAGGGAUUUUGUCAGCGCGUCGUUCUCUCUGUUGAACUUGAUCUUCCCCUGUUGAGCAUCCCUCAUUGCGUUAAUAAGGGCUUGGGUGGGUUUAAUUAAUUUGCCCCGGUAAACACACUCCCCUGUCUCCGGGUUCAGCGUUCCCCCAUGCCCGUACCACCAACUUUUGGCCCUUGGGUCCCAUCCCUCCGUACCUGCACGGAUUCCUCGCGCCCUCAGCUCGUUCUCCAUCUUCUCCAACCUAGGCACCCAAAUGCGAUACCCUCCUGGCCCCAUAACAUGAUUGUACUCCUUCUUAGCCGCAUUUUCCUUAUUUUUUCGAUAUUUGAAUGAACUGCUCCGAUUUCUUUUGCUUCACAAAUUCUGGCCAAUCAUGUUUCAGUUUCUCAUAUUGUCCUUUGAAAUCCGGAGUCUUGUUCUGCUUGACAAAGUCAUGGGCUAGAUUUUGCUUGAAUUUCCGGAAUGCGUCGGCCAUCUUAUGAAGAGCGAACUGUUUGACUAGCCUCCUCCUCUCCUUGUUUUCUUCAAUCUUGUUACCCUCCUCAUCGAAUUUGUUGUAUUCCGGAGGUAGAACGAAAUGUUCCAUAAGCUUCUUGAAGCAAUCUUUUUUUGUUCUCUUAUCGACAAAAGUGAAACCAUCAAUUCGUGCCUUCUUUGGCUCAUUCCACUCCUGGACGGUGAUCGAGACGUUGUCUCUAACAAUGGCUCCGCAUUGGCUGACAAACUUGGUGGCGUUCUUGCGGGGCUCCAGCGGCCUGCCGGUUGCACUGUCGACAACCUCGAUGGUGCAUGUUUCUCCUUGUUUCAUCGUCUUGGUUGCGCCACGCUUUGACGACGUACUCGAUUGUUUCGACGAUCCGGCCGAGGGCUAAAAUAAGAAAGAGUCGCGCGCGUUAGUACACACAUAUUUAUUCAAAUCAGUUAGUUUGUAUCACCAGAGGCUCAAUGUAUAUAUAUACCUCGGCGCCGGAGGUGGUUGCUACAUCCAUUUGAAGAUCGUCGUUUAUCGACGUUUGUUCGGCAUCAUCUUGCUGACGGCGCCCUUCAUCUUCACCGUCAAGGUUCAGAUAAGAAGAGAUAUCAUCUUCUUCUUCUCCGGUCGGCACAUAUAGAAUAUCGCCGUUUAUGAUGCCGAACAUAUGUGCUUCACCGUCCGGAUCAUAGUUGUCCAUAAUCGGGUCAGCUCUAUCGUCCGCCAUUAUGUCAGUCCUGAAAACAUGUAGUAAAAACAAAUUAAUUAAGUGAAGAAGGGGGGCGGUGGCGGUGGCGGUGGCGAAAGGGUGGUGGCAAAAGGAGGGGGCGAGGAAGGGGUGGGAGAGGGUGUCGCGGUAGAGCGCGAGACGGGGCGGCACGAACGUCAUUUUGUGAAGAAACUUUGCAAGCAAUUAAACAUUUGUCAAUGUUUGGUAAAAAAAAUACAGGUAGCGUCUGUUGCUCCUAAUGAUUGGAAACGGUUUCCAAUUGCCAACGAGGAUUUAGAUCGACUACUACUACUAGUUGCAUUGCUCCCCAUCGGGACGAUGUUGCUCCUAAUCCCCUCCUUUGGAAUCUAUAGUACUAGUGCAUACUAGCUGGCCGUUGACCGUUGUUGCUCAUCGCGUUUUCUCAAAGUCCACUGAUUUUGCUCAGGGCCAGUUCGGAGAUUUUGCUGGUCCACUGAUUUUGGAUCAACGCCGGGAUGGCAUGGGCGCUCGGCGAUGAUGCGAAGUAGACUUGCACAGGCAACGUGAUGUACAUGGAUGUGUCAGUACGGUACGCUCGGCGAUGCCACGGUAUGGAUGACUUCUCGAGUGGAGAUUGGAGAACCAAGUUCGCCGGUGAAACGUCGGCUCCUGAUCAGAUCUGGGGGUCGCGAACUAGCGAUUGGAUCUCGGAAGGGAGUUAGGAAAGCGAACAGACGUGCGUUCAAGGCUACAACUUUUUUUUUCAGGAUCUUGAAAACAGCUACGCGUUCAAGGCCCGGUCCUGAUUUUGCUCAUCUACCCGGGGCGGCGUUCGCACUGCGCGAGGGCCGACUCCGCGGGGUGCUGCCGCGUCGCCUCGUCGACGCUGAGCGAGUUGGCGAGGACCGUGUACAUGGUCGGCACGUCGCCGGCGGAGAGGGUCAUGCUGUCCCCGACCAGCGGCGGCCACGGACGGGGAGGGCGGCGGCGGUGACUGGGAAGGAAUGAUAGGAGAGGAAGGAAGGUCGCGUGGGGUUGAGGGCGGNNNNNNNNNNGGCGAGGAGGGACUCCUUGGCGGAGAGGCGCUCCGUCUCGCGGGCGUAGCUGGCAGCGGGCUCCCACGCCUGCGCGUACACGUCGUCCCGCCGUGCGUUCAAGGCUACAACUUUUUUUUUUAGGAUCUUGAAAACAACUACGCGUUCAAGGCCGGCCCGGUCCUGAUUUUGCUCAUCUACCCGGGGCGGCGUUCGCACUGCGCGAGGGCCGACUCCGCGGGGUGCUGCCGCGUCGCCUCGUCGACGCUGAGCGAGUUGGCGAGCACCGUGUACAUGGUCGGCACGUCGCCGGCGGAGAGGGUCAUGCUGUCCCCGACCAGCGGCGGCCACGGACGGGGAGGGCGGCGGCGGUGACUGGGAAGGAAUGAUCGGAGAGGAAGGAAGGUCGCGUGGGGUUGAGGGCGGGCGAGCGAGGCGGCAGUACCGAGGCUGGCCGGCGGCGCGCGCGCGGUGGGCGAGGGCGACGGCGGGCGGCGUCGAGGGCGAGGGCGACGGCGGGCGGCGUCGAGGGCGCGGCAGAGACGAACAGGCGAGAAACGGCGGGCGGCGUCGAGGGAGCCUUGUAUUUAUAGCCCCCCCNNNNNNNNNNNNNNNNNNNNNNNNNNNNNNNNNNNNNNNNNNNNNNNNNNNNNNNNNNNNNNNNNNNNNNNNNNNNNNNNNNNNNNNNNNNNNNNNNNNNNNNNNNNNNNNNNNNNNNNNNNNNNNNNNNNNNNNNNNNNNNNNNNNNNNNNNNNNNNNNNNNNNNNNNNNNNNNNNNNNNNNNNNNNNNNNNNNNNNNNNNNNNNNNNNNNNNNNNNNNNNNNNNNNNNNNNNNNNNNNNNNNNNNNNNNNNNNNNNNNNNNNNNNNNNNNNNNNNNNNNNNNNNNNNNNNNNNNNNNNNNNNNNNNNNNNNNNNNNNNNNNNNNNNNNNNNNNNNNNNNNNNNNNNNNNNNNNNNNNNNNNNNNNNNNNNNNNNNNNNNNNNNNNNNNNNNNNNNNNNNNNNNNNNNNNNNNNNNNNNNNNNNNNNNNNNNNNNNNNNNNNNNNNNNNNNNNNNNNNNNNNNNNNNNNNNNNNNNNNNNNNNNNNNNNNNNNNNNNNNNNNNNNNNNNNNNNNNNNNNNNNNNNNNNNNNNNNNNNNNNNNNNNNNNNNNNNNNNNNNNNNNNNNNNNNNNNNNNNNNNNNNNNNNNNNNNNNNNNNNNNNNNNNNNNNNNNNNNNNNNNNNNNNNNNNNNNNNNNNNNNNNNNNNNNNNNNNNNNNNNNNNNNNNNNNNNNNNNNNNNNNNNNNNNNNNNNNNNNNNNNNNNNNNNNNNNNNNNNNNNNNNNNNNNNNNNNNNNNNNNNNNNNNNNNNNNNNNNNNNNNNNNNNNNNNNNNNNNNNNNNNNNNNNNNNNNNNNNNNNNNNNNNNNNNNNNNNNNNNNNNNNNNNNNNNNNNNNNNNNNNNNNNNNNNNNNNNNNNNNNNNNNNNNNNNNNNNNNNNNNNNNNNNNNNNNNNNNNNNNNNNNNNNNNNNNNNNNNNNNNNNNNNNNNNNNNNNNNNNNNNNNNNNNNNNNNNNNNNNNNNNNNNNNNNNNNNNNNNNNNNNNNNNNNNNNNNNNNNNNNNNNNNNNNNNNNNNNNNNNNNNNNNNNNNNNNNNNNNNNNNNNNNNNNCGAGGAAGACCAAUCGGCUUAAGGUCAGGAACAAAGUCAACACAAAACUCAAUUACCUCCUCAUUUCCAUAGCCCUUGGCGAUGCUUCCUUCUGGCCUAGCACGGUUACGAACAUAUUUCUUUAAUACUCCCAUGAACCUCUCGAAGGGGAACAUAUUGUGUAGAAAUACAGGACCGAGAACGAAAAUCUCUUCGACUAGGUGAACCAGGAGGUGCGUCAUAAUAUUGAAGAAGGAUGGCGGGAACACCAACUCGAAACUGACAAGACAUUGGAUCACAUCGUUCUGUAACCAUGGUAGAACUUCUGGAUUGAUUACCUUCUGAGAGAUUGCAUUGAGGAAUGCACAUAGCUUCACAAUGGCUACUCGAACAUUUUCCGGCAGGAGCCCCCUCAAAGCAAUCGGAAGCAAUUGCGUCAUAAUCACGUGGCAGUCGUGAGACUUCAGGUUUUGGAACUUUUUCUCCGCCAUGUUUAUUAUUCCUUUUAUAUUGGACGAGAAUCCAGACGGGACCUUCAUACUGCUCAGGCAUUCAAAAAAGAUGACCUUCUCUUCUUUGGUCAGAGCGUAGCUGGCACGACCUUGAAACCAUUCCGGAUGCCGGUCAUCAGGGUCUUUCAAACGUUGCUGGUCCUGCCGUGCUUCCUUUGUAUCAUUUGUCUUCCCAUACACGCCCAAGAAGCUUAGGAGGUUCACGCAAAUAUUCUUCGUAACGUGCAUCACGUCGAUUGCAGAGCGGACAUCUAGGACUUUCCAAUAUUCUAGCUCCCAGAAUAUAGAUUUCUUCUUCCACAUGGCUGCGUUCCCGUCUGCUCCCUUCGGAACUGAUUGUCCGCCAGGACCCUUUCCAAAGAUGACUUUCAAAUCCUUGACCAUAUCAAAUACCUCAGCACCAGUGCAUUCCGCAGGCUUCGGCCGGUGAUCUGCCUUGCCGUUGUAAUGCUUGCCUUUCUUUCUUACUGGAUGAAUUUUCGGAAGAAAUCGAUGAUGCCCAAGGUACACGUUCUUCUUACAAUUUGGCAAAUGUACACUUUCAGUCUCAUGUAAGCAGUGCGUGCAUGCAUUGUAUCCCUUAUUUGACAGUCCCGAAAGGUUACUAAGAGCAGGCCAAUCGUUGAUGGUUACGAAAAGCAACGCUCGUAGGUCAAAUUCCUCUUGUUUGUGCUCAUCCCACACACGGACACCACCCCACAGCUGUAAAAGUUCAUCAACUAAUGGCCUUAGGUACACAUCGAUGUCGUUGCCGGGUUGCUUCGGACCUUGGAUGAGCACUGGCAUCAUAAUGAACUUCCGCUUCAUGCACAACCAAGAAGGAAGGUUGUAGAUGCAUAGAGUCACGGGCCAGGUGCUAUGGCUGGAGCUCUGCUCGCCAAAAGGAUUCAUGCCAUCCGUACUUAGAGCAAAUCUUAUGUUCCUUGCGUCAGCUGCAAAAUCUUUGAACCAUCUGUCGAUCUUUCUCCAUUGCGUUCCAUCUGCGGUGUGUCUCAACUCCCCGUCCGACUUACGGUCCUCUUUGUGCCAUCGCAACAACUUGGCAUGCUCUUUGUUCCUGAACAGACGUUUCAACCGUGGUAUUAUAGGAGCAUACCACAUCACCUUGGCGGGAACCCUCUUCCUGGGUUUCUGGCCCUCAACAUCGUCACCAGGGUCAUCGCCUCUGAUCUUAUAACGCAAUGCAGUGCAUAUCGGGCAUUCAUUCAAAUUCUCGUAUUCACCGCGGUAGAGGAUGCAGUCGUUGAUGCAUGCAUGUAUCUUCAGAACCUCUAAACCUAGAGGGCAGACAACCUUCUUUGCUUCGUACGUACUGGCGGGCAACUCGUUAUCCUUUGGAAACAUACUCUUCAACAUUUUCAGCAAGUUUUCAAAUGCCGAGUCAGCUACACCUGCCUCUGCCUUCCAUUUCAGCAAAUCCAGUGUGCAGCCCAGCUUUUUCAGACCAUCAUCGCAUCCGGGGUACAGCGCCUUUCUGUGAUCCUCUAACAUGCGAUCCAAAUUCUCCCUCUCCUUUUCAGUUUCGCAGCGUCUCCGUGCAUCAGCAAUGGUCCGACCAAGAUCAUCAACGGGAUCAUCACGUGCCUCUUCUUCACCUUCCCCUUCACCUUCAGCAUCCUCCAUGAAAGUAUCACCGAGAUGAGCAAGAUAGCUUUCAUCGAUGAAAUCAUCCCCUUCUUCAUCUUCUUCCAUUAUAACCCCUCUUUCUCCAUGCUUGGUCCAACAAUUAUAGCUUGGCAUGAAACCGUGCCGAAGCAGAUGCAUGUGAACAUCUCUUGAGGAAGAGUAACCCUUCUGAUUCUUACAGAUAACACAUGGACAGAUAACAAAAAACCCCUGCUUGUUCGCAUUAGCCACUACGAGGAAAUCUUUCAAACCCGUAGUGAACUCGCCGGAGAGUCGGUUACCGUACAUCCAUUGCCGAUUCAUCUGCAUUAUUAUAAUAUAAAAUAUAUAAUUAACCAUCAUGCAUUUGUUAAACUAACUAGCUACAAACAAUAUAAAUUAAACAAUGAACUGCACACAUGCAUAUUUUAUCAAUGACACAUCAAAGGUUCAUCAAGUUGCUAACCGCGAUCGAGGAGUGUGGCUCCAACACUUCAUGUCAUGUUUGUUUCAUGCUCUUGGGGCAUUUCAUCAAACACCUUAUGUGCAUAAGAGGAACCAAAAGCAAACCUACACCCACUUGUGAAGAGAAUGGCUCCAAAUGGCUAAGUGUUGGCUGCUGGAUGGGUAUAUAUAGGGGAGGGGCUUUAGUUGCGGUUGGCUUGGCAAACCGUGACUAAAGGUGCCCGAAGGCCUUUAGUCGCGGUUGUCCUGGCCAACCGCGACUAAAGACCCUCACGUGCGCCAGCUGGCCACCGAGCGCCCUGAGCCCAGGCCUUUGGUCGCGGUUCACCUCCAGAACCGCGACUAAAGGUCCCAUUAGUCGCGGUUCCUACAGCUUCGCGACUUAUGGGGCUGGACGGAAGCUUGUUUUUCCACCAGUGUACUAGGUAAGGUGUCGUUCCAGUCAAAUUGAUGAAUUCAUCUUUUGUUACCUUUGUUAUAGGAAUAUAGGCUGCAUUUAUUAGUCAUAUCGAGCUCUCAAGGAGUCAAGAUCUUGUUAACUUACUAAUAAUUUCUAUAUACCUGCAGCGUUAUGGCCUAUGGUGCAGGGCAAAGACAACAAGGACGACAUGCGGCGGCGACGUGGCCAUGGUGAAGCUACUUCGUCCGGCUACCCCAUGGUUGGCGUGUCUGCCGUCCUCUCAAUCUAUCACACGUACGUCCGGUGCAUGCAUGGUGUCGGGCCGAAGAGCACACAAAUCUACAUCCAGGCCCUGGGCACUAGCAACCGCUGAUGCACUUAGCCACUUACCAAUGUAUUCCUAUUGUACGUAUAUAAUAAAGUGGUUAGUACGUCGACGUAGAAAUAGUUAGUAGCUUGCUUUGCACUCACACAAUCGAGUCAUGAUUGUUACUGAUGAUCAAAAUUUUAUGUAUUUUUUAUGCCGGAUGGGUUUACUACUUCUUCUUCGGUUGUAUAUAAAGCUUCCAAAAAAUUAGUAUAUAAUCCUCCAGAAUAAAUCAGUAUAUAGUCCUCCAAAAAAAUGAGUAUAUACACUUUGUAACGCAGCAUAUACCCCAUAAAAAAUGUAGUAUAACGCUGCAGAAAUAAGACAUACUCCUUUUCUAGUUGCAUAUACCCAAUCACAAAACUACACUGAAAUAAUUAGUAGUACAUACUCCUUUUCUAUUUUGGAAAGGAACGUCCAUUUCCCUCUUCAACAAGUGCUUUAUUUUUCUAGGGGUAGCCUUGUGUUUUUACUGCCAUGCGACGACAUUACAAAAUGUAUUACACCCAUUAUUCAUCUAAUUUUUUAUAUACCCUUUUAUGCAUACUUUGAAUUUAUCACUCAUUUGGGCGACCAGCCCGCUCUCUCAUUGCAGCGACUCGACUCUCACAUAAAGCCAGUAUAUACUCACGUAAAAAAAAGCAGUAUAGACUCCCUUACUGAAAAAGAACUAUAUACUCCCCUACCAAAAAAAGUAGUAUAUGCUCCAUUACCAAAAAGGCAGUAUAUACUCAUAUACAAAAGGUGGUAUAUACUGUCUUCCCAAAGUAGUAUAUAUCUUUUUCCUUGCGUUAGAGAAGUAGUAUAACCAGAACAGAUAGUUCAUACUUGUGUGCUGAAAAAAGUAGUAUAUAAAUAUAUAUGUAAGAGUGAGUAUGGUAGAUAUGUAUCGGUCCUUACAAAAAAAAUCAACCACUGUUAUUGUUUAUUUGCACCGAACUAACCUUAUCUGUAUGCUAGGAUCCUUGAAUCUCUCAAUCUGUUGAUGCACAUGCAUGCGUCGGCCGGUGGAGCAAUUAGCAACUAGAUCUAAUAACUGCCAACCUGUUCAGUCCAUGGGAGUACAUACUCCUGGGAGUAUAAAAGAGGAGUCUAUAUAUAUAUAUAUAUAUAUAUAUAUAUACGGUGGCGCUAUUGUGUGCGUGAGCGCAGAUUUACUUAUCGUGCGCGCCGGUCAUUGCGUGCGCCACUCGUAUUCCUAAUGAUGGUAAAAUUCCUGGCAGAAAUAGUAAUAUAAUUUAAUUGGUUACUGCCUGCCACCACCACGGUAGCGAUUUAAUUGGUUAGGUCUACUAGUAAAAAUGCAUAGCAGAAAAAGUAAAAGAGCUAAAAGUAUUACUGUUGGAUGCAUCGGUCCCCGCUUCGACUGCCUACUAGUAAAACACCUCAUAAAAGUAGUAAUAGGAUUACCCUACACGCAUCAGCCCCUUGCCAUACUUGUGAACAGGUAAACUUCAUGUGAAGAAUAGUACUGGAUGGUAACUGUGUUACCAUAGAACGGACACUUGCUAUUAGCUAGCUACAUGGUAAUUUUAUUACCGCUAACUUUCAUCGGUUUAAUACCUAAUCAUGUUACCACUUAUUUUCUUAGUAGUAUUGGAUGGUAACUAUGUUACCACAUGACGAAAAAAUUGCUAUUAGCUAAUAGCUACACGGUAAUUGCAUUACCACUCAUGUGUAGAAGCAUGAUACACGGUCUUUUUUCCAAUUACGUUUGGUCGAAGACGCAAGGGUUUGCUAAUCGCUAAAGUGGGGUCGAAGCAGUAAUAAGUUUCCAACCGUUACCAUGUUUCUUAAGGUAUGUUACGUAUGGGCGCAAGACAUGUUCUUUAAUAGGAGCGGGACAACGGUUGCUUAGACGGAGAAUGGCGCGCAGUCUGGCCGGAGCGUAGAAUUAGACUUCUGCGCUCAGGCUUAGUUUAGCACGUCUAUAUAUAUAUAUAUAUAUAUAUAUAUAUAUAUACAUACAUGUUAGUGGCCUCGACGCUGCUUCUCUAGGGUUUGGGGUCGCCUCGACACAACGCUUCAAGGGUUUGGGGUGGCCUCGACGACAACGUUUUUUUAACUUGAUAAAUUUGGGUGGCCUCGAGAGAGUUAAUUUGUCGGGUAGGGGCGCGGCGGGAGGGGGUAGGAGACCAACAUCGUUUUCUCUCUAGGGUUUGGGUGUCCUCGAGAGUUAUCGGGGAGGGGGUAUCGGUACCACCCCCUAGCUCGUGUUGAAGUUUCUUCUUUCUCCUCUAUUCCUUUCUUUCUUCUUCUCCUCUUCUUUUUCUUCUUCUCCCUCGAGAAAGGAAAAUANNNNNNNNNNNNNNNNNNNNNNNNNNNNNNNNNNNNNNNNNNNNNNNNNNNNNNNNNNNNNNNNNNNNNNNNNNNNNNNNNNNNNNNNNNNNNNNNNNNNNNNNNNNNNNNNNNNNNNNNNNNNNNNNNNNNNNNNNNNNNNNNNNNNNNNNNNNNNNNNNNNNNNNNNNNNNNNNNNNNNNNNNNNNNNNNNNNNNNNNNNNNNNNNNNNNNNNNNNNNNNNNNNNNNNNNNNNNNNNNNNNNNNNNNNNNNNNNNNNNNNNNNNNNNNNNNNNNNNNNNNNNNNNNNNNNNNNNNNNNNNNNNNNNNNNNNNNNNNNNNNNNNNNNNNNNNNNNNNNNNNNNNNNNNNNNNNNNNNNNNNNNNNNNNNNNNNNNNNNNNNNNNNNNNNNNNNNNNNNNNNNNNNNNNNNNNNNNNNNNNNNNNNNNNNNNNNNNNNNNNNNNNNNNNNNNNNNNNNNNNNNNNNNNNNNNNNNNNNNNNNNNNNNNNNNNNNNNNNNNNNNNNNNNNNNNNNNNNNNNNNNNNNNNNNNNNNNNNNNNNNNNNNNNNNNNNNNNNNNNNNNNNNNNNNNNNNNNNNNNNNNNNNNNNNNNNNNNNNNNNNNNNNNNNNNNNNNNNNNNNNNNNNNNNNNNNNNNNNNNNNNNNNNNNNNNNNNNNNNNNNNNNNNNNNNNNNNNNNNNNNNNNNNNNNNNNNNNNNNNNNNNNNNNNNNNNNNNNNNNNNNNNNNNNNNNNNNNNNNNNNNNNNNNNNNNNNNNNNNNNNNNNNNNNNNNNNNNNNNNNNNNNNNNNNNNNNNNNNNNNNNNNNNNNNNNNNNNNNNNNNNNNNNNNNNNNNNNNNNNNNNNNNNNNNNNNNNNNNNNNNNNNNNNNNNNNNNNNNNNNNNNNNNNNNNNNNNNNNNNNNNNNNNNNNNNNNNNNNNNNNNNNNNNNNNNNNNNNNNNNNNNNNNNNNNNNNNNNNNNNNNNNNNNNNNNNNNNNNNNNNNNNNNNNNNNNNNNNNNNNNNNNNNNNNNNNNNNNNNNNNNNNNNNNNNNNNNNNNNNNNNNNNNNNNNNNNNNNNNNNNNNNNNNNNNNNNNUGAAAACACUUUUUUUUGUUUUCUUUCUUGCUUUAUUUAUUUUAUUUUGUUUCUACUUGCAAUAAAAUACUUAUUGUUGUUUUUUUGUUUUGUUUUCUGCAUUAUUUAUUUUCUUUUGUUUUUUGCUUUAUUUUUUAAUUCUUUUUGCUUUUAGUUUUAGGAAAAUUAUAAACUUUCUAUUAGUGCCAUUACUUUUCAAAUUUGAAAACACUUUUUUGUUUUUUAGUUUUCUUUCUUGCUUUAUUUAUUUUAUUUUGUUUCUACUUACAACAAAAUACUUAUUGUUGCUAUUUUUAAUUAUUACGAAGGCCAAACCAUAAGACAUUAAAGCAUUUCAAAUGAACUCUGAAAAAGUUGAAAGUUGGCAUGGUAUCAUAAAUUGACCCACACAUAGCAUGUGCAUGUACAAAACGGACAAUGUUAUCAUACUCGUCAGUUACAAAGUUGGCAUGGUAUCAUCAUAAUAGUUGCGGGAGAAAGUCUUCACUUUUUCUUCGCUUGUGUCAUUUGCUUAUUGCGCCGUAACCAUGGAUAAUCUUCAUCGUUUAUCAGGAUGCUGGGGUCAGCCUUGACUUUAAAGGGAGGAAUUUCAUGAAACUUUUCAUAAUCUUCAGACAUGUCUGUCUUGUCCUCCUCUCCCACGAUGUCCCUUUUUCCUGAAAGAACUAUGUGGCGCUUUGGCUCAUCGUAUGAUGUAUUCGCUUCCUUAUCUUUUCUCUUUCUUGGUCUGGUAGACAUGUCCAUCACAUAGAUAACCUGUGCCACAUCAUUGGCUAGGACGAACGGUUCGUCAGUGUACCCAAGAUUUUUCGGAUCCACUGUUGUCGUUCCGUACUGUGGGUCUACAUGUACCCCGCCUCCUGACAGAUUGACCCAUUUGCACUUAAACAAAGGGACCUUAAAAUCAUGUCCUUAGUCAAGUUCCCAUAUGUCCACUAUGUAACCAUAAUAUGUGUCCUUUCCCCUCUCGGUUGUUGCAUCAAAGCGGACACCGCUGUUUUGGUUGGUGCUCUUUUGAUCUUGGUUAAUCGUGUAAAAUGUCUUCCCAUUUAUCUCAUAUCCUUUCCAAAUCGUAACAGUCGAAGAUGGUCCCCUGGAUAACAAGUACAUCUCAUCACAAACAGCGUUGUCACCUCUGAUACGUGCUUCCAACCAACUGCUGAAAGUCCUGAUGUGUUCACAUGUAAUUCAGUCGUCGCACUGCUCCGGGUGUUUGGAGCGCAGACUGUUCUUGUGUUCAUCCACAUACGGGGUCACCAAGGUAGAGUUCUGUAGAACUGUGUAGUGUGCUUGAGACCAAGAAUAUCUGUCCCUGCAUAUUAUUGAGUCCCUUCCAAGCAUGCCUUUUCCAGUCAGUCUCCCCUCAUACCGCGAUUUAGGGAGACCUAUCUUCUUAUGGCCAGGAAUGAAGUCAACACAAAACCCGAUGACAUCCUCUGUUUGAUGGCCCAUGGAGAUGCUUCCUUCUGGCCUAGCGCGAUGAGGGACAUAUUUCUUUAGGACUCCCAUGAACCUCUCAAAGGGGUACAUAUUGUGUAGAAAUACGGGGCCCAAAAUGACAAUCUCGUCAACUAGAUGAACUAGGACGUGCGUCAUGAUAUUGAAGAAGGAUGGUGGGAACACCAGCUCGAAACUGACAAGACAUUGCACCACAUCACUCCUUAGCCUUGGUAUGAUUUCUGGAUCGAUCACCUUCUGAGAGAUUGCAUUGAGGAAUGCACAUAGCUUCACAAUGGCUAAUCGGACGUUUUCCGGUAGAAGCCCCCUCAAUGCAACCGGAAGCAGUUGUGUCAUAAUCACGUGGCAGUCAUGAGACUUUAGGUUCUGAAACUUUUUCUUUGCCAUAUUUAUUAUUCCUUUUAUAUUCGACGAGAAGCCAGUCGGGACCUUCAUACUAAGCAGGCAUUCAAAGAAGAUUUCCUUCUCUUCUUUGGUAAGAGCAUAGCUGGCAGGACCUUCAUACUGCUUUGGAGGCAUGCCGUCUUUUUCGUGCAAAUGUUGCAGGUCCUCCCGUGCCUCAGCUGUAUCUUUUGUCUUCCCAUACACGCCCAAGAAGCCUAGCAGGUUCACGCAAAGGUUCUUCGUCACGUGCAUCACGUCGAUCGAAGAGCGGACCUCUAGGUCUUUCUAGUAGGGUAGGUCCCAAAAUAUAGAUUUCUUCUUCCACAUGGGUGCGUGUCCCCCAACGUCACUCGGAACAGCUAGUCUGCCGGGACCCUUUCCAAAGAUUACGUGUAAAUCAUUGACCAUAGCAAGUACGUGACCACCGGUACGCAUGGCGGGCUUCUUCCGGUGAUCUGCCUCGCCUUUGAAAUGCUUGCCUUUCUUUCGACAUUGAUGGUUGGUCGGAAGAAAUCGACGAUGGCCCAGGUACACAUUCUUCCUACAGCUUGCCAGGUAUAUACUAACGGUGUCAAGUAAACAGUGCGUGCAUGCGUGGUAUCCCUUGUUUGUCUGUCCUAAAAGGUUACUGAGAGCAGGCCAAUCGUUGAUGGUCACGAACAGCAACGCCUUUAGGUUAAAUUUCUCCUGUUUGUGCUCAUCCCACGUACGUACACCGUUUCCAUUCCACAGCUGUAAAAGUUCUUCAACUAAUGGCCUUAGGUACACAUCAAUGUCAUUGCCGGGUUGCUUAGGGCCUUGGAUGAGAACUGGCAUCAUAAUGAACUUCCGCUUCAUGCACAUCCAAGGAGGAAGGUUAUACAUACAUAGAGUCACGGGCCAGGUGCUGUGAUUGCUGCUCUGCUCCCCGAAAGGAUUAAUGCCAUCCGCACUUAAAGCAAACCAUACGUUCCUUGGCUCACUUGCAAACUCAUCCCAGUACUUUCUCUCAUUUUUCUCCAUUGCGACCCGUCAGCGGGUGCUCUCAACUUCCCGUCUUUCUUACGGUCCUCACUAUGCCAUCGCAUCAACUUGGCAUGCUCUCCGUUUCUGAACAGACGUUUCAACCGUGGUAUUAUAGGAGCAUACCACAUCACCACUACUAGGGAAAAGCCUAUACAUAGAAUCUUACCAGCAGCGCUCUUCAAAAUACAACGCUACUGCUACUUAGCAGCAGCGCGUGUCUGCCAAACACGCUGCUGACUUGGAAGUAGCAGUAGCGGGUGCAUCGCAUACAGCGCUACUGCUAUAGUUGCCAUGACCUUGCCCCCCCCCCCCCNNNNNNNNNNNNNNNNNNNNNNNNNNNNNNNNNNNNNNNNNNNNNNNNNNNNNNNNNNNNNNNNNNNNNNNNNNNNNNNNNNNNNNNNNNNNNNNNNNNNNNNNNNNNNNNNNNNNNNNNNNNNNNNNNNNNNNNNNNNNNNNNNNNNNNNNNNNNNNNNNNNNNNNNNNNNNNNNNNNNNNNNNNNNNNNNNNNNNNNNNNNNNNNNNNNNNNNNNNNNNNNNNNNNNNNNNNNNGCAAACGCGCUACAACUAUCCCUACCUUAUCCCCAUGCGCACGACCGGCCCUCUCACUCACACUCUCACUCUCGCCCACGUCAACCGUCGUCGUCCGUCGCCGCCGCCGCCGCCUUCGUCCGUCCGCCGCCGAGGUACUCCCCUCCUUCCGUCCCUCCUCCAUCCUCCUUGCACAUCCUCCCUCCGCCUGUGGCCGCCCCUCCUUCCUCCGCCGCUGCCCUCCUCCCUCCGCCUGCGGCCGCCCCUCCUCCCUCCUCCGACGGCAGCCCUCCUCCCACCGCCCUCGACCUCGCUGCCCCUAGCUACCUCUCCGUCGCCCCCCACCCCUGCCACUAGUUAGUACUAGAUUUAGUAGUAGUAGAUGUUAAUUUAGGGUUAGCUAGUACUAGAUGUUGCUUAGUUAGUACUAGAUUUUUAGUAGUAGUAGUGGUAGUUGAACUACUUUAGUUGUAGUUGAACUAGUUUAGUAAGUAAAUUAAUAAACGAGUUGAACUAGUUGAAUUAAUAGAACUAAUCUAUUUUUAGUAAGAUAAUUAAUAUAACUAGUUGAACUACUUUAUUUUUAGAAAGAACUAAUUUUUUUCUAUUUAUAUUAAGUUUAUAUUUAGUAAGAACUAGUUGAAUUAAUAAAACUAGUUGAACAUGUCAUGUUUGUUGUUAGUGAUAACUUAUAUGGUUUCAGGUGACCUCCGUCGUCCCCGUCACCGACCCCCUCCGACAUCCCCGUCGUCGUCCCAGUCACCGACCCCCUCCGACAUCGAGGUGAGACCAGCCAAAUAUCCUUGUAUAUCUUGUGUUGUUGCUCAAAUUGGAUAUGUGGUUGCCCAAGUGGCCGUUCAUGUAGUUUACAUCUCCGAGUGGCCUAUGUUUUGCCGGAGUGUUGAUUAAUUUCCGUUCCGACAAAUUUCAGGCGCUCGAUAUGUCCUUUUUUAGCAAAGGUCAUGCCGGAUUUUGUCGUGAAUUCUGGUAUGACUUGUGCUAGAAUAUGUACAAGUUUAAUCUUUGAAUUAUGAUUGUAGGAAAUGUCGUACUCGGACGACGAAGGUCUCCCGGGGGAGUGUAGCUGGUGCCACGACGAUCGAGGUAUGUGCGAUAGGUUCGUUCGGCUGGACGAAGAUCGGCGCUUCAACAUUAAGCUCGAGGAGACCUUCGAUUGUGAAAUGGUACGCAACAACGACAAGUGUUUUUUCUCCAUUAAGCAUGACUUCAACUAUUUCAACGUCUAAUUUUCAUAUUUUACAAUUCGACUAGCUUAUCCCAUGCCAUGCAAGACGCUAUGUCUUGGAGAGGAUGGGUUUUGAAGACCAUGAAAAUUUCAAAACAAAGAAAAUACACCUAAGGACCCAUCAUGAUAUGGAUUUUGAAGUAAACCUGUGCAAUGCUCAGAGCGCAACCCAUUUUGGUUGCCAAAAUUGGGAAGCACUUUGCAAAAUGUAUGGUUUUUAUGAGGGUAUGAUUGUCACCAUGGAUCUUGGUGAUCCUGACAGUGAGGAAGACAAUAUGGACAUUUGGGUCCUUGUUGAUACGCUUCCGAUUGUACCGCUAUGUGACUUUCUCAAACAUAGUUAUUAACUAAUUUAUAUUGUUUAUUUCAAAAUAGUUGAUAGCUUAUUUCCAUUGACAGCUUAUUUUGAUUCUUCAAAGACUGUGCGGAAGAUGGUAGAUAAAACCCACUACACCGAAGGCACCCAAUUAACGUAUAAGGAGAAAAAUCAUCUGAUCGCAUUUUGUACUCUUCUUGAGAAUUACAAUGACUAUAAUCGAACUCCUCCAGAUUAUGGUGAAUAUGUGCCACUAGUGCAUGUGUUGAACAACGAUAACUUAUCUGGAGAUACCCUGGUAAGAUUUUUUACUAUUACGACAUCCGUGUAUUUUUUGCAUACUUCUAAAACUAGUACAUCAUUGCUAACUACGAAGUUAUUAUUAUGUUUUUCAACAGAAACUCCCGAUGGAUUGUGUGCCUCAUCUGAUGUCUCUGCAUGGUCGCCUCUCAGUUCUGAACAUACUGCCAGGUAAAUCUACAGAGCUCACCUAUGCAUAUCAGAUUUCUAAAACCCGUGAACACAUGAUCAUCAGAGAAUGGAAGAAAUGUAUGGACAUUCGCAAGGAGGUUCUUGGAAGUAACAUUCAGCGAAACGUAAGAAUGGGAGACAGGCUAAUCUCCAUUCUCCAUAAUGGAGAGUCAGGGGCUAUCUUGUUUUUUGUUAUUUUACCUUAGAAAAUGUAGUAGGUCUUAAUCGAAUGUAAUAGGUCCUAUGAGGUACAAUAUGUUUAUUAUGUGGUAAUGUGUUAGAGUUGAUAAUGAUGAUCUUGAGGAGGUGUUAUGUGAUGUCAAUGAUGAAAACGAUGAUAUUGAGGAGGUGUUAUAUGACAAUGAUGUAUUAUGAUGCUAAGUUGUUAAUGAUAUGAUGAUGAUGAUGAUAUUAUUAUAUCAUUGGGUGAAAGAACCGUGGAUUAGUUUCAAGUGGAUGGACAUCCACUUGAAACUAGUCCACGGUUCUUUCACCCCAUGAUGUAAUAACUCAUUAUGAUGUAAAAACAAUCUCUAAAUUCCUGUUGUAUGAAAACUUGUGUAAGGGUGUAUGAAUACAACAUGAAAAAGAAAAGAAAUAAAAUACUAAAUAAUAGUAGUAGCGCGGGUAAGGAGAAGCGCUACUACUAAUUACCAGUAGCGAUGUUCUAAAGAACCGCUGCUACUAAGUCAAUUUAGCAGUAGCGCGUGUCAAGACGCGCUAUUGCUAAGCAUUAGCUGUAGCGCCUUAUCAGUAGCGCUCCUGCCCGCGCUACUGAUAGGCCCAAAACCCGCGCUGCUGCUAGGCUUUUCCCUAGUAGUGCACCUUCGCAGGAACCCUCUUCCUGGGGGGCUCGCCGUCAACAUCACCAGGGUCAUCUCGUCUGAUCUUAUACCAUAAUGCACCGCAUACCAGGCAUGCGUUCAGAUCCUUAUAUGCACCGCGGUAGAGGAUGCAGUCAUUAGGGCAUGCAGGUAUCUUCUGCACCUCCAAUCCUAGAGGGCAUACGACCUUCUUUGCUGCGUAUGUACUGUCGGGCAAUUCGUUAUCCUUUGGAAGCUUCUUCUUCAAUAUUUUCAGUAGCUUCUCAAAUCCUUUGUCAGGCACAGCAUUCUCUUAAAGGAAAUAUGCCCUAGAGGCAAUAAUAAAGUUAUUAUUUAUUUCCUCAUAUCAUGAUAAAUGUUUAUUAUUCAUGCUAGAAUUGUAUUAACCGGAAACAUGAUACAUGUGUGAAUACAUAGACAAAACUAUAGUCACUAGUAUGCCUCUACUUGACUAGCUCAUUAAUCAAAGAUGGUUAUGUUUCCUGACCAUAGACAUGUGUUGUCAUUUGAUUAGUGGGAUCACAUCAUUAAGAGAAUGAUGUGAUUGACAUGACCCAUUCUGUUAGCCCAGCACUUGAUCGUUUAGUAUACUGCUAUUGCUUUCUUCAUGACUUAUACAAAGUUCCUGCAACUAUGAGAUUGUGCAACUCCCGUUUACCGGAAGAACACUUUGUGUGCUACCAAACAUCACAACGUAACUGGGUGAUUAUAAAGGUGCUCUACAGGUGUUUCCGAAGGUACAUGUUGGGUUGGCAUAAUUCGAGAUUAGGAUUUGUCACUCCGAUUGUCGGAGAGGUAUCUCUGGGCCCUCUCGGAAAUACUCAUCACAUAAGCCUUGCAAGCAUGUAACUAAUGAGUUAGUUAUGAGAUGACGUAUUACGAAACGAGUAAAGAGACUUGCCGGUAACGAGAUUGAACUAGGUAUUGGAUACCGACGAUCAAAUCUCGGGCAAGUAACAUACCGAUGACAAAGGGAACAAAGUAUGUUGUUAUGCGGUUUGACCGAUAAAGAUCUUCGUAGAAUAUGUAGGAACCAAUAUGGGCAUCCAGGUCCCGCUAUUGGUUAUUGACCGAGAAUGGUUUUAGGUCAUGACUACAUAGUUCUCAAACCCGUAGGGUCCGCACGCUUAACUUUUUGAUGAUAGUUUUAUUAUGAGUUUAUAAGUUUUGAUGUACCAAAGUUUGUUCGGAGUUCCGGAUGUGAUCACGGAUAUGAUGAGGAGUCUCGGAAUGCUUGAGCCAUAAAGAUUGAUAUAUUGGACGACUAUAUUCGGACACCGGAAAGGUUCCGGGAGUUUUCGGAGAAAACCGGAGUGCCCGGGGGGUUACCGAAACCCCCCGGGAGAGUUAAUGGGCCACAUGGGCCUAGGUGGGAAGAGAAAGGGGCGGCCAGGGUGAGCCGCGCGCCCCCUCUCCCUCUAGUCCGAAUUGGACUAGGAGGGGGGGCGGCGCCCCCUUUCCUUCCCCCCCUCUCUUCCUUCCUUCCCCCUCCUAGUAGGAGUAGGAAAGGAGGAAUCCUACUCCUACUAGGAGGAGGAUUCCUCCUCCCUUGCGCGCCCCAAGGGGCCGGCCGGCCUCCCCCUCCCUCCUUUAUAUACGGGGGCAGGGGGCACCCCAUAGACACACAAGUUGAUCUACGGAUCGUUCCUUAGCCGUGUGCGGUGCCCCCUUCCACCAUAUUCCACCUCGGUCAUAUCGUCGCGAAGCUUAGGCGAAGUCCUGCGCCGGUAGAACAUCAAGAUCGUCACCACGCCGUCGUGCUGACGGAACUCUCCCUCGACACUCGGCUGGAUCGGAGUUCGAGGGACGUCAUCGAGCUGAAUGUGUGCUGAACUCGGAGGCUCCGUACGUUCGGUUCUUGGAUCGGUCGGAUCGUGAAGACGUAUGACUACAUCAACCGCGUUGUCAUAACGCUUCCGCUUACGGUCUACGAGGGUACAUGGACAUACACUCUCCCCUCUCGUUGCUAUGUCAUCACCAUGAUCUUGCGUGUGCGUAGGAAAAUUUUGAAAUUACUACGUUCCCCGACAGUGGUAUCAGAGCCUAGGUUUUAUGCGUUGAUGUUAUAUGCACGAGUAGAACACAAGUGAGUUGUGGACGAUAUAAGUCAUACUGCCUACCAGUGUGUCAUACUUUGGUUCAGCGGUAUUGUGAGAUGAAGCGGCCCGGACCGACAUUACGGGUACGCUUACGCGAGACUAGUUUCACCGUUAUGAGCACUCGUGCUUAAAGGUGGCUGGCGGGUGUCUGUCUCUCUCACUUUAGUUGAACCGAGUGUGGCUACGCCCGGCCCUUGUGAAGGUUAAAACGGAGUCUAUUUGACAAACUAUCGUUGUGGUUUUGAUGCGUAGGUAAGAACGGUUCUUGCUAAGCCCGUAGCAUCCACGUAAAAUUUGCAACAACAAAGUAGAGGACGUCUAACUUGUUUUUGCAGGGCAUGUUGUGAUAUGAUAUGGUCAAGACGUGAUGCUAUAUUUUAUUGUAUGAGAUGAUCAUGUUUUGUAACCGAAGUUAUCGGCAACUGGCUGGAGCCAUAUGGUUGUCGCUUUAUUGUAUGAAAUGCAAACGCCCUGUAAUUGCUUUACUUUAUCUCUAAGCGGUAGCGAUAGUCGUAGAAGCAAUAGAUGGCGUAAACGACAACGAUGCUACGAUGGAGAUCAAGGUGUCGCGCCGGUGACGAUGGUGAUCAUGACGGUGCUUCGAAGAUGGAGAUCACAAGCACAAGAUGAUGAUGGCCAUAUCAUAUCACUUAUAUUGAUUGCAUGUGAUGUUUAUCCUUUAUGCAUCUUAUCUUGCUUUGAUUGACGGUAGCAUUUUAAGAUGAUCUCUCACUAAAAUUAUCAAGUAGUGUUCUCCCUGAGUAUGCACCGUUGCCAAAGUUCAUCGUGCCGAGACACCACGUGAUGAUCGGGUGUGAUAAGCUCUACGUCCAUCUACAACGGGUGCAAGCCAGUUUUGCACACGCAGAAUACUCAGGUUAAACUUGACGAGCCUAGCAUAUGCAGAUAUGGCCUCGGAACACAGAGACCGAAAGGUCGAGCGUGAAUCAUAUAGUAGAUAUGAUCAACAUAAUGAUGUUCACCAUUGAAAACUACUCCAUCUCACGUGAUGAUCGGUUAUGGUUUAGUUGAUUUGGAUCACGUGAUCACUUAGAUGACUAGAGAGAUGUCUGUCUAUGUGGGAGUUCUUAAGUAAUAUGAUUAAUUGAACUUAAAUUUAUCAUGAACUUAGUACCUGAUAGUAUCUUGCUUGUCUAUGUUUGUUUGUAGAUAGAUGGCUCGUGCUGUUGUUCCGUUGAAUUUUAAUGCGUUCCUUGAGAAAGCAAAGUUGAAAGAUGAUGGUAGCAAUUACACGGACUGGGUCCGUAACCUGAGGAUUAUCCUCAUUGUUGCACAGAAGAGUUACGUCCUGGAAGCACCGCUGGGUGCCAGGCCUGCUGCUGAUGCAACUGACGACGUUAAGAACGUCUGGCAGAGCAAAGCUGAUGACUACUCUAUAGUUCAGUGUGCCAUGCUUUACGGCUUAGAACCGGGUCUUCAACGACGUUUUGAACGUCAUGGAGCAUAUGAGAUGUUCCAGGAGUUGAAGUUAAUAUUUCAAGCAAAUGCCCGGAUUGAGAGAUAUGAAGUCUCCAAUAAGUUCUAUAGCUGCAAGAUGGAGGAGAAUAGUUCUGUCAGUGAACAUAUACUCAGAAUGUCUGGGUAUAACAAUCACUUGAUUCAACUGGGAGUUAAUCUUCCUGAUGAUAGUGUCAUUGACAGAAUUCUUCAAUCACUGCCACCAAGCUACAAGAGCUUUGUGAUGAACUAUAAUAUGCAAGGGAUGAACAAGACUAUUCCCGAGCUCUUCGCGAUGCUGAAAGCCGCAGAGGUAGAAAUCAAGAAGGAGCAUCAAGUGUUGAUGGUCAACAAGACCACUAGUUUCAAGAAGAAGGGCAAAGGAAAGAAGAAGGGGAACUUCAAAAAGAACGGCAAGCAAGUUGCUGCUCAAGAGAAGAAACCCAAGUCUGGACCUAAGCCUGAAACUGAGUGCUUCUACUGCAAGCAGACUGGUCACUGGAAGCGGAACUGCCCCAAGUAUUUGGCGGAUAAGAAGGAUGGCAAAGUAAACAAAGGUAUAUGUGAUAUACAUGUUAUUGAUGUGUACCUAACUAGAGCUCGUAGUAGCACCUGGGUAUUUGAUACUGGUUCUGUUGCUAAUAUUUGCAACUCGAAACAGGGACUACGGAAUAAGCGAGCACUGGCCAAGGACGAGGUGACGAUGCGCGUGGAAAACGGUUCCAAAGUCGAUGUGAUCGCGGUCGGCACGCUACCUCUACAUCUACCAUCGGGAUUAGUUUUAGACCUAAAUAAUUGUUAUUUGGUGCCAGCGUUGAGCAUGAACAUUAUAUCUGGAUCUUGUUUGAUGCAAGACGGUUAUUCAUUUAAAUCAGAGAAUAAUGGUUGUUCUAUUUAUAUGAGUAAUAUCUUUUAUGGUCAUGCACCCUUGAAGAGUGGUCUAUUUUUAUUGAAUCUCGAUAGUAGUGAUACACAUAUUCAUAUUGUAGAAGCCAAAAGAUGCAGAGUUGAUAAUGAUAGUGCAACUUAUUUGUGGCACUGCCGUUUGGGUCAUAUCGGUGUACAACGCAUGAAGAAACUCCAUACUGAUGGACUUCUGGAAUCACUUGAUUAUGAAUCACUUGGUACUUGCGAACCGUGCCUUAUGGGCAAGAUGACUAAAACACCGUUCUCCGGAACUAUGGAGAGAGCAACAGAUUUGUUGGAAAUCAUACAUACAGAUGUAUGUGGUCCGAUGAAUGUUGAGGCUCGUGGCGGAUAUCAUUAUUUUCUCACCUUCACUGAUGAUUUAAGCAGAUAUGGGUAUAUCUACUUAAUGAAGUACAAGUCUGAAACAUUUGAAAAGUUCAAAGAAUUUCAGAGUGAAGUAGAAAAUCAUCGUAACAAGAAAAUAAAGUUUCUACGAUCUGACCGUGGAGGAGAAUAUUUGAGUUACGAGUUUGGUUUACAUUUGAAACAAUGCGGAAUAGUUUCGCAACUCACGCCACCUGGAACACCACAACGAAAUGGUGUGUCCAAACGUCGUACUCGUACUUUACUUGAUAUGGUGCGAUCUAUGAUGUCUCUUACCGAUUUACCGCUAUCGUUUUGGGGUUAUGCUUUAGAGACGGCCGCAUUCACGUUAAAUAGGGCACCAUCAAAAUCCGUUGAGAUGACGCCUUAUGAACUGUGGUUUGGCAAGAAACCAAAGUUGUCGUUUCUUAAAGUUUGGGGCUGCGGUACUUAUGUGAAGAAACUUCAACCAGAUAAGCUCGAACCCAAAUCGGAGAAAUGUGUCUUCGUAGGAUACCCAAAGGAGACUAUUGGGUACACCUUCUAUCACAGAUCUGAAGGCAAGAUUUUCGUUGCUAAAUUCGGAUCCUUUCUAGAGAAGGAAUUUCUCUCGAAAGAAGUGAGUGGGAGGAAAGUAGAACUUGAUGAGAUAACUGUAUCUACUCCCUUAUUGGAAGGUAGUUCAUCACGAGAACUGGUUCCCAUGACAACUACACCAAUUAUUGAGGAAGCUAAUAAUAUUGAUCAUGAAACUUCAGAUCAAGUUUCUGCUGAACCUCGUAGGUCUACCAGAGUAAGAUCCGCACCAGAGUGGUACGGUAAUCCUAUUCUGGAAGUCAUGUUACUUGACCAUGAUGAACCUACGAACUAUGAGGAACCGAUGAUGAGCCCAGAUUCCGCAAAAUGGCUAGAGGCCAUGAAAUCUGAGAUGGGAUCCAUGGAUGAAAACAAAGUAUGGACUUUGGUUGACUUGCCCGAUGAUCGGCAAGCCAUUGAGAAUAAAUGGAUCUUUAAGAAGAAGACUGACGCUGAUGGUAAUGUUACUGUCUAUAAAGCUCGACUUGUUGCGAAAGGUUUUCGACAAGUUCAAGGGGUUGACUAUGAUGAGACUUUCUCACCCGUAGCGAUGCUUAAGUCUGUCCGAAUCAUGUUGGCUAUUGCUGCAUUUCAUGAUUAUGAAAUUUGGCAAAUGGAUGUCAAAACUGCAUUCUUGAAUGGAUUUCUAGAAGAAGAGUUGUAUAUGAUGCAGCCGGAAGGUUUUGUUGAUCCAAAAGGUGCUGACAAAGUGUGUAAGCUCCAAUGUUCCAUUUAUGGACUGGUGCAAGCAUCUCGGAGUUGGAAUAAACGUUUUGACAGUGUGAUCAAGGCAUAUGGUUUUAUACAGACUUUUGGAGAAGCCUGUAUUUACAAGAAAGUGAGUGGGAGCUCUGUAGCAUUUCUAGUUUUAUAUGUUGAUGACAUAUUAUUAAUUGGAAAUGAUAUAGAAUUUCUGGAGAGCAUAAAGGGAUACUUGAAUAAAAGUUUUUCAAUGAAAGACCUCGGUGAAGCUGCUUACAUAUUGGGCAUCAAGAUCUAUAGAGAUAGAUCAAGACGCUUAAUAGGACUUUCACAAAGCACAUACCUUGACAAAAUUUUGAAAAAGUUCAAAAUGGAUCAGGCAAAGAAAGGAUUCUUGCCUGUGCUACAAGGUGUGAAGUUGAGUCAAACUCAAUGCCCGACCACAUCAGAAGAUAGAGAGAAAAUGAAAAAUGUUCCCUAUGCUUCAGCCAUAGGCUCUAUCAUGUAUGCAAUGCUGUGUACCAGACUUGACGUAUGCUUAGCAAUAAGCUUGGCAGGAAGGUACCAAAGUAAUCCAGGAGUGGAUCACUGGACAGCGGUCAAGAACAUCCUUAAAUACCUGAAAAGGACUAAGGAUAUAUUUCUCGUAUAUGUAGGUGACAAAGAGCUCGUCGUAAAUGGUUACGUCGAUGCAAGCUUUGACACUGAUCCAGACGAUUCUAAAUCGCAAACCGGAUACGUGUUUAUAUUAAACGGUGGAGCUGUAAGUUGGUGCAGUUCUAAACAAAGCGUCGUGGCGGGAUCUACAUGUGAAGCGGAGUACAUAGCUGCUUCUGAAGCAGCAAAUGAAGGAGUCUGGAUGAAGGAGUUCAUUUCCGAUCUAGGUGUCAUACCUAGUGCAUCGGGACCAAUGAAGAUCUUCUGUGACAAUACAGGUGCAAUUGCUUUGGCAAAGGAAUCCAGAUUUCACAAGAGGACCAAGCACAUCACGAGACGCUUAAAUUCCAUUCGGGACCAAGUCCAAGUGGGAGACAUACAGAUUUGCAAGAUACAUACGGAUCUGAAUAUUGCAGACCCGUUGACUAAGCAUCUCUCACGAGCAAAACAUGAUCAGCACCAAGACUCCAUGGGUGUUAGAAUCAUUAUUGUGUAAUCUAGAUUAUUGACUCUAGUGCAAGUGGGAGACUAAAGGAAAUAUGCCCUAGAGGCAAUAAUAAAGUUAUUAUUUAUUUCCUCAUAUCAUGAUAAAUGUUUAUUAUUCAUGCUAGAAUUGUAUUAACCGGAAACAUGAUACAUGUGUGAAUACAUAGACAAAACUAUAGUCACUAGUAUGCCUCUACUUGACUAGCUCAUUAAUCAAAGAUGGUUAUGUUUCCUGACCAUAGACAUGUGUUGUCAUUUGAUUAGUGGGAUCACAUCAUUAAGAGAAUGAUGUGAUUGACAUGACCCAUUCUGUUAGCCUAGCACUUGAUCGUUUAGUAUACUGCUAUUGCUUUCUUCAUGACUUAUACAAAGUUCCUGCAACUAUGAGAUUGUGCAACUCCCGUUUACCAAAAGAACACUUUGUGUGCUACCAAACGUCACAACGUAACUGGGUGAUUAUAAAGGUUCUCUACAGGUGUUUCCGAAGGUACAUGUUGGGUUGGCAUAAUUCGAGAUUAGGAUUUGUCACUCCGAUUGUCGGAGAGGUAUCUUUGGGCCCUCUCGGUAAUACUCAUCACAUAAGCCUUGCAAGCAUGUAACUAAUGAGUUAGUUAUGAGAUGACGUAUUACGGAACGAGUAAAGAGACUUGCCGGUAACGAGAUUGAACUAGGUAUUGGAUACCAACGAUCAAAUCUCGGGCAAGUAACAUACCGAUGACAAAGGGAACAAAGUAUGUUGUUAUGCGGUUUGACCGAUAAAGAUCUUCAUAGAAUAUGUAGGAACCAAUAUGGGCAUCCAGGUCCCGCUAUUGGUUAUUGACCGAGAAUGGUUUUAGGUCAUGACUACAUAGUUCUCGAACCCGUAGGGUCCGCACGCUUAACGUUUCGAUGAUAGUUUUAUUAUGAGUUUAUAAGUUUUGAUGUACCGAAGUUUGUUCGGAGUCCCAGAUGUGAUCACAGACAUGACGAGGAGUCUUGGAAUGGUCGAGACAUAAAGAUUGAUAUAUUGGACGACUAUAUUCGGACACCGGAAAGGUUCCGGGAGUUUUCGGAGAAAACCGGAGUGCCGGGGGGGUUACCGGAACCCCCCGGGAGAGUUAAUGGGCCACAUGGGCCUAGGUGGGAAGAGAGAGGUGCGGCCAGGGUGGGCCGCGCGCCCCCUCUCCCUCUAGUUCGAAUUGGACUAGGAGGGGGGGCGGCGCCCCCCUUUCCUUCCCCCCCUCUCUUCCUUCCUUCCCCCUCCUAGUAGGAGUAGGAAAGGAGGAAUCCUACUCCUACUAGGAGGAGGAUUCCUCCUCCCUUGGAGCGCCCCAAGGGGCUGGCCGGCCUCCCCCUCCCUCCUUUAUAUACGAGGGCAGGGGGCACCCCAUAGACACACAAGUUGAACUACGGAUCGUUCCUUAGCCGUGUGCGGUGCCCCCUUCCACCAUAUUCCACCUCGGUCAUAUUGUCGCGAAGCUUAGGCGAAGCCCUGCGCCGGUAGAACAUCAAGAUCGUCACCACGCCGUCGUGCUGACGGAACUCUCCCUCGACACUCGGCUGGAUCGGAGUUCGAGGGACGUCAUCGAGCUGAACAUCUGCUGAACUCGGAGGCUCCGUACGUUAGGUGCUUGGAUCGGUCGGAUCGUGAAGACGUACGACUACAUCAACCGCGUUGUCAUAACGCUUCCGCUUACGGUCUACGAGGGUACGUGGACAUACACUCUCCCCUCUCGUUGCUAUUUCAUCACCAUGAUCUUGCUUGUGCGUAGGAAAAUUUUGAAAUUACUACGUUCCCCAACAUCUCUGCCUUCCACUGCAGCAAUUCCAGUACGGUACCGAGCUUUGUGUUGCCAUCUUCGCAAUUGGGGUACAACCCUUUUUUUUGGUCCUCUAGCAUGCGAUCGAACUUCAGCUUCUCCUUUUGACUUUUGCAUUGCGUCCUUGCAUCGACAAUGACCCGGCGGAGAUCAUCAUCAUCGGGCACAUCGUCUGGUUCCUCUUGAUCUUCAGCAGCUUCGCCUGUUGCAGCAUCAUCGUGCACAUCGUCUGGUUCCUCUUGAUCUUCAGGAGCAUCACCGUAUUCAGGGGCACAUAGUUGUCAUCGUACUCUUCUUCACCGUCUUCCAUCAUAACCCCUAUUUCUCCGUGCCUCAUCCAAACAUUAUAGUGUGGCAUGAAACCCUUGUAAAGCAGGUGGGUGUGGAGGAUUUUCCGGUCAGAGUAAGACUUCGUAUUCCCACAUAUAGGACAUGGACAACACAUAAAACCAUUCUGCUUGUUUGCCUCAGCCACUUCGAGAAAAUCAUGCACGCGCUUAAUGUACUCGGAGGUGUGUCUUGAACCGUACAUCCAUUGCCGGUUCAUCUGCGUGCAUUAUAUAAUGAAGUGACCAAAUUAAUAGAAGUUCAUCAUCACAUUAAAACCAAAGUACAUACAUAGUUCUCAUCUAACAACAUAAAGCUCUGCAGAGCAUCUAAAUUAAUUAAACCAUACACUGAAACUAUGUAAAACAUUUCAAUGCGAAAACAAAUGCAACCAUAAUCGCAACCAAUGUAACAACUGAUCCAACGGCAUAAUGAUACCAAGCCUCAGUAUGAAUGGCAUAUUUUCUAAUCUUUCUAAUCUUCAAGCGCAUUGCAUCCAUCUUGAUCUUGUGAUCAUCGACGACAUCCCCAACAUGCAACUCCAAUAUCAUCUUCUCCUCCUCAAUUUUUCUAAUUUUUUCCUUCAAGAAAUUGUUUUCUUCUUCAACUGAAUUUAACCUCUCGACAAUAGGGUCGGUUGGAAUUUCCGGUUCAACAACCUCCUAGAUAAAUAAAAUCUAUGUCACGUUGGUCGGCAUAAUUGUCAUAAACAAUAAAUGAACCAAUAGUUAUGAAAAGAUAAUAUAUACCACAUCCGAAUCAUAGACAGGACGAGGGCCGACGGGGGCGGAUACCAAAACCAUCGCACUAUAUAAGAUGCAAUAAUAAAAGUAAGAAAAUAAUACAAGUAUCUAUCUAAACAUACAAGUAAGAAUAUUUUUCCUUUCAGAAAGAAGAUAAGAACAAGAGGCUCACCACGGUGGUGCCGGCGAUGAGAUCGGCGCGGGUGAUCGACGACGAUGAAGACAAGGACGGGGCGUGACGGACCGCUAAACCUAGACAAAUAUUGAGGAAAAUGGAGCUUGGCGGUCGAGCUUGGAGGGGAGAAAGCUUAAGUAGUGUGGCUCGGGCAUUCCAUCGAACACCUCGUGUGCAUAGGAGGUGAGCUAGAGCACCACAAAGCUCUCCCCUCGCCGGCCACGAAAAACAGAGCACUGGGAGUGCUCUGCUCGCGAGCGGGGGGUAUAUAUAGGCACCACCAUUGGUCCCGGUUGGUCGCACGAACCGGGACUAAAGGUUGGCCUUUGGUCCCGGUUCGUGCCACCAACUGGGACCAAUGGUGGUGGGCCAGGAGCGAGGCCCAUUGGUCCCGGUUCGUCCCUCCAACCGGGACCAAAAGGUCCAGACAAACCGGGACCAAUGGCCCACGUGUUGGGUUUCGUAGUAAUUUCAAAAAAUUUCCUACGCACACGCAAGAUCAUGUGAUGCAUAGCAACGAGGGGAGAGUGUUGUCUACGUACCCAACGCAGACCGACUGCGGAAGCGAUGACACGACGUAGAGGAAGUAGUCGUACGUCUUCACGAUCCAACCGAUCAAGCACCGAAACUACGGCACCUCCGAGUUCGAGCACACGUUCAGCUCGAUGACGAUCCCCGGACUCCGAUCCAGCAAAGUGUCGGGGAAGAGUUCCGUCAGCACGACGGCGUGGUGACGAUCUUGAUGAACUACAGCAGCAGGGCUUCGCCUAAACUCCGCUACAGUAUUAUCGAGGUAUAUGGUGGCAGGGGCACCGCACACGGCUAAGGAAUAGAUCACGUGGAUCAACUUGUGUGUAUAGAGGUGCCCCCUGCCUCCGUAUAUAAAGGAGGAGAGGAGGGGAGGCUGGCCGGCCAAGGAGGGGAGGCGCAGGAGAGUCCUACUCCCUCUGGGAGUAGGAUUCCCCCCAAUCCUAGUCCAACUAGGAUUCCUCGGAGGGGAAGGGAGAGAGGGGGGCCGGCCACCUUCUCCUAGUCCUAAUAGGACUAGGGGAGGGGGAAGUGGCGCAGCCACCUUGGGCUGCCCCUUUCUCCUUUCCACUAAGGCCCAUGAAGGCCCAUAUGGCUCCCGGGGGGUUCCGGUAAUCCUCCCGGUACUCCGGUAAAAUCCCGAUUUCACCCGGAACACUUCCGAUGUCCAAACAUAGGCUUCCAAUAUAUCAAUCUUUAUGUCUCGACCGUUUCGAGACUCCUCGUCAUGUCCAUGAUCACAUCCGGGACUCCAAACAACCUUCGGUACAUCAAAAUGCAUAAACUCAUAAUGUAACUGUCAUCGUAACCUUAAGCGUGCGGACCCUACGGGUUCGAGAACAAUGUAGACAUGACCGAGACACGUCUCCGGUCAAUAACCAAUAGCGGGACCUGGAUGCCCAUAUUGGCUCCUACAUAUUCUACGAAGAUCUUUAUCGGUCAGACCGCAUAACAACAUACGUUGUUCCCUUUGUCAUCGGUACGUUACUUGCCCGAGAUUCGAUCGUCGGUAUCCAAUACCUAGUUCAAUCUCGUCACCGGCAAGUCUCUUUACUCGUUCUAUAAUGCAUCAUCCCGUAACCAACUCAUUGGUCACAUUGCUUGCAAGGCUUAUAAUGAUGUGCAUUACCGAGAGGGCCCAGAGAUACCUCUCCGACAAUCGGAGUGACAAAACCUAAUCUCGAAAUACGCCAACUCAACAUGUACCUUCGGAGACACCUGUAGUACUCCUUUAUAAUCACCCAGUUAAGUUGUGACGUUUGGUAGUACCCAAAGUGUUCCUCCGGUAAACGGGAGUUGCAUAAUCUCAUAGUUACAGGAACAUGUAUAAGUCAUGAAGAAAGCAAUAGCAACAUACUAAACGAUCAAGUGCUAAGCUAACGGAAUGGGUGAAGUCAAUCACAUCAUUCUCCUAAUGAUGUGACCCCGUUAAUCAAAUGACAACUCUUUUGUCCAUGGCUAGGAAACAUAACCAUCUUUGAUAAACGAGCUAGUCAAGUAGAGGCAUACUAGUGACACUAUGUUUGUCUAUGUAUUCACACAUGUAUUAUGUUUCUGGUUAAUACAAUUCUAGCAUGAAUAAUAAACAUUUAUCAUGAAAUAAGGAAAUAAAUAAUAACUUUAUUAUUGCCUCUAGGGCAUAUUUCCUUCAGUCUCCCACUUGCACUAGAGUCAAUAAUCUAGUUCACAUCGUCAUGUGAUUUAACAACAAUAUUCAUAUCUGUAUAUGAUUAACACCCAUAGUUCACAUUAUCAUGUGACCAACACCCAAAGGGUUUACUAGAGUAAAUAAUCUAGUUCACAUCUCUAUGUGAUUAACACCCAAAGAGUACUAAGGUGUGAUCAUGUUUUGCUCGUGAAAGAAGCUUAGUCAAUGGGUCUGUCACAUUCAGAGCCGUAUGCAUUUUGCAAAUAUUUUAUGUCUACAAUGCUCUGCACGGUGCUACUCUAGCAAUUGCUCCCACUUUCAAUAUGUAUCCAGAUUGAGACUUAGAGUCAUCUGGAUCGGUGUGAAAACUUGCACCGAGGUAACUUUUACGACGGGCUCUUUUAUCACCUCCAUAAUCGAGAAAUAUUUCCUUAGUCCUCACUAAGGAUAUUCUUGACCAAUGUCGAGUGAUCUACUCCUAGAUCACUAUUGUACUCCCUUGUCAAAUACUGAGCAAGGUAUACAAUAGUUCUGGUACAUAGCAUAGCAUACUUUAUAGAACCUAUGACUGAGGCAUAGGGAAUGACUUUUCAUUUUUUCUAUUUUCUGUUGUGGUCGGGAUUUGAGUCUUACUCAAUUUCAUACCUUUGCAACACAGGCAAGAACUCUUUCUUUGACUGUUCCAUUUUGAACUAUUUCAAAAUCUUGCCAAGGUAUGUACUCAUUGAAAAUCUUAUCAAGCGUCUUGAUCUAUCUCAAUAUAUCUUGAUGCUCAAUAUGUAAGUAGCUUUUACUGAGGUCUUUUCCUUUUAAAGAACUCCUUUAAAACACUCCUUUAUGCUUUGCAGAAAAAUUCUACAUCAUUUCUGAUCAACAAUAUGUCACUCGUAUAUACUAAUCAGAAAGGCUAUAGUGCUCCCACUCACUUUAUUGUAAAUACAGGCUUCUCAAAAAGUCUGUAUAAAACCAUAUGCUUUGAUCAACUCAUCAAAGCGUAUAUUCCAACUCCGAGAGGCUUGCACCAGUCCAUAGAUGGAUCGCUGGAGCUUGCACAUUUUUUUAGCACCUUUAGGAUUGACAAAACCUUCUGGUUGCAUCAUAUACAACUCUUCUUUAAUAAAUCCAUUAAGGAAUGCAGUUUUGAUAUCCAUUUGCCAGAUUUCAUAAAAUGUGGCAAUUGCUAACAUGAUUCAGACAGACUUAAGAAUCGAUACGAGUGAGAAAAUCUCAUCGUAUUCAACACCUUGAACUUGUUGAAAACCUUUCGCAACAAGUCGAGCUUGGUAGAUAGUAACACUACUAUCAGUGUCCGUCUUCCUCUUGAAGAUCCAUUCAUUUAACAUGGCUUGCUGAUCAUCGAGCAAGUCAAUCAAAGUCCAUACUUUGUUCUCAUACAUGGAUCAUAUCUCAGAUUUUAUGGCCUCGAGCCAUUUCGCGGAAUCUGGGCUCAUCAUCGCUUCUUCAUAGUUCGUAGGUUCAUCAUGAUCUAGUAUCAUGACUUCCAGAAUAGGAUUACCGUACCAUUCUGGUGCGGAUCUUACUCUGGUUGAUCUACGAGGUUCAUCAGUAUCUUGAUCUGAAGUUUCAUGAUCAUUAUCAUUGGCUUCCUCACUAACUGGUGUAGGUGUCACUGAAACAGUUUUCUGUGAUGAACUACUUUCCAGUAAGGGAGCAGGUACAGUUACCUCGUCAAGUUCUACUUUCCUCCCACUCACUUCUUUCGAGAGAAACUCCUUCUCUAGAAAGGAUCCAUUCUUAGCAACGAAUGUCUUGCCUUCGGAUCUGUGAUAGAAGGUGUACCCAAUAGUCUCCUUUGGGUAUCCUAUGAAGACACAUUUCUCCGAUUUGGGUUCGAGCUUAUCAGGUUGAAGCUUUUUCACAUAAGCAUCGCAGCCCCAAACUUUAAGAAACGACAACUUUGGUUUCUUGCCAAACCACAGUUCAUAAGGCGUCGUCUCAACGGAUUUUGAUGGUGCCCUAUUUAACGUGAAUGCGGCCGUCUCUAAAGCAUAUCCCCAAAAUGAUAGCGGUAAAUCAGUAAGAGACAUCAUAGAUCGCACCAUAUCUAGUAAAGUACGAUUACGAUGUUCGGACACACCAUUACGCUGUGGUGUUCCGGGUGGCGUGAGUUGCGAAACUAUUCCACAGUUUUUCAAAUGUACACCAAACUCGUAACUCAAAUAUUCUCCUCCACGAUCAGAUCGUAGAAACUUUAUUUUCUUGUUACGAUGAUUUUCAACUUCACUCUGAAAUUCUUUGAAAUUUUCAAAUGUUUCAGACUUAUGUUUCAUUAAGUAGAUAUACCCAUAUCUGCUUAAAUCAUCUGUGAAGGUGAGAAAAUAACGAUAUCCGCCACGAGCCUCAGUAUUCAUCGGGCCACAUACAUCGGUAUGUAUGAUUUCCAACAAAUCUGUUGCUCUCUCCAUAGUACCGGAGAACGGUGUUUUAGUCAUCUUGCCCAUGAGGCACGGUUCGCAAGUACCAAGUGAUUCAUAAUCAAGUGGUUCCAAAAGUCCAUCAGUAUGGAGUUUCUUCAUGCGCUUUAUACCGAUAUGACCUAAACGACAGUGCCACAAAUAAGUUGCACUUUCAUUAUCAACUCUGCAUCUUUUGGCUUCAACAUUAUGAAUAUGUGUAUUACUACUAUCGAGAUCCAACAAACCAUUUUCAUUGGGUGUAUGACCAUAGAAGGUUUUAUUCAUGUAAACAGAACAACAAUUAUUCUCUAACUUACAUGAAUAACCGUAUUGCAAUAAACAUGAUCAAAUCAUAUUCAUGCUCAACGCAAACACCAAAUAACACUUAUUUAGGUUUAACACUAAUCCCAAAAGUAUAGGGAGUGUGCGAUGAUGAUCAUAUCAAUCUUGGAACUAUUUCCAACACACAUCGUCACUUCACCCUUUAACUAGUCUCUGUUUAUUCUGCAACUCCCGUUUCGAGUUACUAAUCUUAGCAACUGAACUAAUAUCAAAUACUGAGGGGUUGCUAUAAACACUAGUAACGUACACAUCAAUAACAUGUAUAUCAAAUAUACUUAUGUUCACUUUGCCAUCCUUCUUAUCCGCCAAUCACUUGGGGUAGUACCUCUUCCAGUGACCAGUCUCUUUGAAGUAGAAGCACUUAGUCUCAGGCUUAGGACCAGACUUGGGUUUCUUCACUUGAGCAGCAACUUGCUUGCCGUUCUUCUUGAAGUUCCCUUUCUUUCCCUUUGCCCUUUUCUUGAAACUAGUGAUCUUGUUAACCAUCAACACUUGAUGCUCUUUCUUGAUUUCUACCUUCGUUGAUUUCAGCAUCAUGAAGAGCUUGGGAAUCGUUUUCGUCAUCCCUUGCAUACUAUAGUUCAUCACGAAGUUCUAGUAACUUAGUGAUGGUGACUAGAGAAUUCUGUCAAUCACUAUCUUACCUGGAAGAUUAACUCCCACUUGAUUCAAGCGAUUGAAAUACCCAGACAAUCUGAGCACAUGCUCACUAGUUGAGCGAUUCUCCUCCAUCUUUUAGCUAUAGAACUUGUUGGAGACUUCAUAUCUCUCAACUCGGGUAUUUGCUUGAAAUAUUAACUUCAAUUCCUGGAACAUCUCAUAUGGUCCAUGACGUUCAAAACGUCUUUGAAGUCCCGAUUCUAAGCCGUUAAGCAUGGUGCACUAAACUAUCAAGUAGUCAUCAUCUUGAGCUAGCCAGACGUUCAUAACUUCUGCAUCUGCUCCUGCAAUAGGUCUGUCACCUAGCGGUGCAUUAAGGACAUAAUUCUUCUGUGCAGCACUGAGGAUAAACCUCAGAUCACGGAUCGAAUCCGCAUCAUUGCUACUAACAUUUUUCAACACAAUAUUCUCUAGGAACAUAUCAAAAUAAACAUAUGAAAGCAACAACGCGAGCUAUUGAUCUACAACAUAAUUUGCAAAAUACUACUAGGACUAAGUUCAUGAUAAAUUAAAGUUCAAUUAAUCAUAUUACUUAAGAACUCCCACUUAGAUAGACAUCCCUCUAAUCCUCUAAGUGAUCACGUGAUCCAAAUCAACUAAACCAUGUCCGAUCAUCACGUGAGAUGGAGUAGUUUCAAUGGUGAACAUCACUAUGUUGAUCAUAUCUACUAUAUGAUUCACGCUCGACCUUUCGGUCUCUGUGUUCCGAGGCCAUAUCUGUAUAUGCUAGGCUCGUCAAGUAUAACCUGAGUAUUCCGCGCGUGCAACUGUUUUGCACCCGUUGUAUUUGAACGUAGAGCCUAUCACACCCGAUCAUCACGUGGUGUCUCAGCACGACGAACUUUGGCAACGGUGCAUACUCAGGGAGAACACUUCUUGAUAAUUUAGUGAGAGAUCAUCUUAUAAUGCUACCAUCAAUAAAAGCAAGAUAAGAUGCAUAAAAAGAUAAACAUCACAUGCAAUCAAUAUAAGUGAUAUGAUAUGGCCAUCAUCAUCGUGUGCUUGUGAUCUCCAUCUCCGAAGCACCGUCAUGAUCACCAUCGUCACCGGCGCGACACCUUGAUCUCCAUCGUAGCAUCGUUGUCGUCUCGCCAAUCUUAUGCUUCCACGACUAUCACUACUGUUUAGUAAUAAAGUAAAGCAUUACAUCGCGAUUGCAUUGCAUACAAUAAAGCGACAACCAUAUGGCUCCUGCCAGUUGCCGAUAACUCGGUUACAAAACAUGAUCAUCUCAUACAAUAAAAUUCAGCAUCAUGCCUUGACCAUAUCACAUCACAACAUGCCCUGCAAAAACAAGUUAGACGUCCUCUACUUUGUUGUUGCAUGUUUUACGUGGCUGCUACGGGCUUAAGUAAGAACCAAUCUCACCUACGCAUCAAAACCACAACGAUAGUUUGUCAAAUAGACUCCGUUUUAACCUUCUCAAGGACCGGGCGUAGCCAUACUCGGUUCAACUAAAGUUGGAGAGACAGUCGCCCGCAAGCCAUCCAUGUGCAAAGCACGUCGAGGGAACCGGUCUCGCGUAAGCGUACGCGUAAGGUUGGUCCAGGUCGUCUCGUCCAACAAUACCGCCGAACCAAAGUAUGACAUGCUGGUAGGCAGUAUGACUUGUAUCGUCCACAACUCACUUGUGUUCUACUCGUGCAUAUAACAUCAACAUAAAUAACCUAGGCUCGGAUGCCACUGUUGGGUUUCGUAGUAAUUUCAAAAAAUUUCCUACGCACACGCAAGAUCAUGUGAAGCAUAGCAACGAGGGGAGAGUGUUGUCUACGUACCCAACGCAGACCAACUGCGGAAGCGAUGACACGACGUAGAGGAAGUAGUCGUACGUCUUCACGAUCCAACCGAUCAAGCACCGAAACUACGGCACCUCCGAGUUCGAGCACACGUUCAGCUCGAUGACGAUCCCCGGACUCCGAUCCAGCAAAGUGUCGGGGAAGAGUUCCGUCAGCACGACGGCGUGGUGACGAUCUUGAUGAACUACAGCAGCAGGGCUUCGCCUAAACUCCACUACAGUAUUAUCGAGGUAUAUGGUGGCAGGGGGCACCGCACACGACUAAGGAAUAGAUCACGUGGAUCAACUUGUGUGUAUAGAGGUGCCCCCUGCCUCCGUAUAUAAAGGAGGAGAGGAGGGGAGGCUGGCCGGCCAAGGAGGGGAGGCGCAGGAGAGUCCUACUCCCUCUAGGAGUAGGAUUCCCCCCAAUCCUAGUCCAACUAGGAUUCCUCGGAGGGGAAGGGAGAGAGGGGGGCCCGCAGCCACCUUGGGCUGCCCCUUUCUCCUUUCCACUAAGGCCCAUGAAGGCCCAUAUGGCUCCCGGGGGGUUCCGGUAACCCUCCCGGUACUCCGGUAAAAUCCCGAUUUCACCCGGAACACUUCCGAUGUCCAAACAUAGGCUUCCAAUAUAUCAAUCUUUACGUCUUGACCAUUUUGAGACUCCUCGUCAUGUCCGUGAUCACAUCCGGGACUCCGAACAACCUUCGGUACAUCAAAAUGCAUAAACUCAUAAUGUAACUGUCAUCGUAACCUUAAGCGUGCGGACCCUACGGGUUCGAGAACAAUGUAGACAUGACCGAGACACGUCUCCGGUCAAUAACCAAUAGCGGGACCUGGAUGCCCAUAUUGGCUCCUACAUAUUCUACGAAGAUCUUUAUCGGUCAGACCGCAUAACAACAUACGUUGUUCCCUUUGUCAUCGGUAUGUUACUUGCCCGAGAUUCGAUCGUCGGUAUCCAAUACCUAGUUCAAUCUCGUCACCGGCAAGUCUCUUUACUCGUUCUAUAAUGCAUCAUCCCGUAACCAACUCAUUGGUCACAUUGCUUGCAAGGCUUAUAAUGAUGUGCAUUACCGAGAGGGCCCAGAGAUACCUCUCCGACAAUCGGAGUGACAAAACCUAAUCUCGAAAUACGCCAACUCAACAUGUACCUUCGGAGACACCUGUAGUACUCCUUUAUAAUCACCCAGUUACGUUGUGACGUUUGGUAGUACCCAAAGUGUUCCUCCGGUAAACGGGAGUUGCAUAAUCUCAUAGUUACAGAAACAUGUAUAAGUCAUGAAGAAAGCAAUAGCAACAUACUAAACGAUCAAGUGCUAAGCUAACGGAAUGGGUGAAGUCAAUCACAUCAUUCUCCUAAUGAUGCGACCCCGUUAAUCAAAUGACAACUCUUUUGUCCAUGGCUAGGAAACAUAACCAUCUUUGAUAAACGAGCUAGUCAAGUAGAGGCAUACUAGUGACACUAUGUUUGUCUAUGUAUUCACACAUGUAUUAUGUUUCCGGUUAAUACAAUUCUAGCAUGAAUAAUAAACAUUUAUCAUGAAAUAAGGAAAUAAAUAAUAACUUUAUUGUUGCCUCUAGGGCAUAUUUCCUUCACCACGUGGCCCGGCCGGCCCCCGGGGCUCAAGAACCAGGUCCAAUGCCCCCAUUGGUCCCGGUUUUGGAUUGAACCGGGACUAAUGGGCUGGACCGGCCUGGACCAUCGCCCCCUUUUCUACUAGUGUUAGUGCAUGGUGGUUAGUGAAGUUAGUGGAGCAUGGUGUGAGUGCGUGGGUCAUGGUUGAGUGCCAGACUUUGUAUAAAUUGUCAUUUGAGUCAAUGAGAAAAUGUAAGGCCGAGAGGGCCAGUGCAAAGAUGUAGCAUUUGUGGUAGCCAAGGGAGAUUAACUGGGCAAAGCUAUGUGUUCUUCCUUGGUCUAUGCGUGUGUGUGUUCUGUGUGUGUUCUCUCUCUGCGUCCUUGUGUUCAUGGGAGUGUUUUUGAGAGAAGCCAGAAGAGAGAGUUGUGAGAGGCAGCUCGAGGUAGAAGAAGGAGCGGUGCUGCUCCGAGAGGAGGCGGCGCCAACAAUUAUUGACGAAAGGGAUAUUAUAUUGCGCAAGGUAUAAUCAGACGCGUCGGGGAUGGAGCGACUACACACAUAUGGGAUCACAACUGGAUUAUGAGGGAAAGCUAUAAGAGGCCAAUAAAUAAGUUAGUGCAGAUCCCCCCUCAGAAACAUUUUAUGUAUACACGUUAACAUUUCCCAGAUAUAUGAUUAAUAUUUUUAGAAAACUUCUAUUUUUUAUGUGUACUUUUUAUACAUUUUGUAAUAUCAGAAAUAGUUUUUAUAGAAGGUUUAACAUUUUUCAAAUACAUGAUUACCUUUUUGUAAACUUAUAUUGUUUGACGUUUACUUUUUUCCAUAGACAUAGUGAGGGGUUAUAUCUAAGGAAUAGGCCCAAGUACAUGUAGGCACAACCAAAGGCCCAUGUUAAUCAAGGAUGUUCCACAAGACAAAUGGGAAAACACACCGGGGCUAAUGGAGCUACAAGGCCAAGGCAUCGGAUACAAGGGGAGAGUCAACUGUGUACAGUCAGAUUACACAACCCUUAACAGACAAGACUCAUCAGUUGGUCCACUAUAGGAAUCAGGUCAUUUGCCGUCAGCCGAGAACAGAUGCGAAGGCUUUGCCGUGAGCAAGUUGACGACAAACACAAUCAGCAAAGACUAUAUCAGCAAAGAGCUAAUUUGACGUCAACUUUUCAUCGCGCUGAUGACAAAGACUUUGCCGUCAAUUAAACUAUGUGUUUGUCGUCUGUAGAAAAAACACAAAUGGCAAAGAAAUUAAACAAAUGGUCAUUUUAUAAUAAUUUUUCGAAAUGUAUAUAGUGUAUUUUAAAAUGUUAAAUAUGUAUCAAGAAUUAUUUCAUAAAUAUACAGAAGAUGUACAACGUGUAUGAAAAUUAUGUAGACAUCAGAACAUAUUAUAGAAAUGUUAAUCUUGUAUUUAAAAAUGUUAAAUACACAUAAAUAAAAAUGUUUUUGAUGUACAUAAAAAAAUUGUACAUCGUGUGUGAACAAAGUAUGCAUUGAAAAAAAAAUCUUGUUGGAAAGAAAAUCUCGUGCUAUAUACGAAAAUGUAAAAGGUGUAUGAAAAUAAUUAGAUAUAUGCUUAACGAAAAAAAGGAAAGAAGGCGCAAAAAAAUCCGAUCAACACCAAGAUAGGAACAAGAAAACCUGAAGAAGACCAUUGAAAAAAAAGAAAAGAAUACAAGAAAGAGGAAAAAAAACAAAAAAAUGAAGAAGCUGAUGCAGAACAGGGAACUUGGUGAAAACGAAUAAAAAUUGAUGAAAACCGAGAAGAAAAACAAGAAAACUGAAGCAAAAAAAUAAUAAAAAUAUGUAAAAAAAUGAUGAAACAUUGCAAAACACUGAAAUACUAUGAAAACCAAAGGAAGAAAAGACUCAAAAAGAAGAACAUACAGCGAGCGAAUGAACAACAACUGAGUGAACGAGCGACCAUGCGAGAACACGUUAAUUGUCCGGCCCAUACUUGUGGACUCCAGAGGCGAGCCAGAAUAGGCGAGAUAUAGCUAUGACGAUUUGAUACCCUUCACAGCUUCACGAAUGCUAUAUCUCGCUCACAGCGAAAGUAUAUUUUGUCUGGCCUGAAGGUGCAAGAAUAGCAUCAGGUCGCUGUAAGGUUUGUGAUCCUACAAUGAGAGCUCCGAUAAGAUUAAAGUUCAUUUUUCUGACAACCUUUGGUCGUUCGUUCGCGCUCAGGUCGUCCGCUCACUCGAUUCCACGUACUAGUUUGGUUAUGUUGUUUUUUUCAUUUUGUUCUUUUUUUGUUUCUUCACUGGCUUUCUUUGGUUUUUAUAUCGGUUUUCUUUGUUUCCUUCACGUUUUAUUCCUGUUUUCCUUUUUACUGGUUUAUUUAUUCCUUUUUUUCUUUGUUUCUUUCUUGGUUUUCUUUGUUUUUCUUUCUUUUGAUGUCAAUCUUUUUACAUACGCAUUCAACAAUUUCCGUAUACAUCAGAAACAUUUUAUGUAUACACAUUAACAUUUCCCAGAUAUAUGAUUAAUAUUUUUGGAAAACCUCUAUUUUUUAUGUGUACUUUUUGAUACAUUUUGUAUAUAUCAGAAAUAUUUUUUUAGAAGGUUUAACAUUUUUUUAAAUACAUGAUUACCUUUUUGUAAACUUAUAUUGUUUGACGUUUAUUUUUUUCCAUAGACAUAGUGAGGGGUUAUAUCUAAGGAAUAGGCCCAAGUACAUAUAUGGCACAACCAAAGACCCAUGUUAAUCAAGGAUGUGGUCCACAAAACAAAUGGGGAAACACACGGGGGCCAAUGGAGCUACAAGGCCAAAGCAUCGGAUAUAAGGGGAGAAUAAGUGUGUACAGUCGGAUUACACAACACUUGACAGACAAGACUCAUUAGUUGGUCCACUAUAGGAAUCGAGUAAUUUGCCGUCAGCCGAGAACAGACUCGAAGUCUUUGCCGUCAGCAAGUUGAUGACAAACACAGUGAGCAAAGACUAUAUCGGCAAAGAGCUAAUUUGACGUUAACUUUUCAUCCGCUGAUGACAAAGACUUUGCCGUCAAUUAAACUAUGUGUUUGUCGUCUGUAGAAAAAACACAAAUGGCAAAGAAAAGCAUCUUUGCCAUCAGCAACUGAUUCACAUGUGUCGUCAGCCAGACUCGUCUUGUCACUAGCCUCAAACAUCACAGAUGGCAAAGAUUUUUUUUUAUUUUUAAAAUUCCGCGUCGACCACCCUAUCGCUCGUGCAGCCACCGCCUGGCCGCGCUCGCCUCCCUGCUCACAUGCCCUGCCAGCUUGCGCCGUUGCCAUCCGGCAGCGCUCGCCCGACCCUGCUCAUCGCCCGGCCGAGCUCGCCCGCCCUGCUCGGUCGCGUCGUCGGCAGCUGCCCUGCUUGCACACGUACCUGCCCAGCCUUGCUCAUACCGCCGGCCACCCUGCUCGCUAGAGAAAGGAAGGCGAGAGAGGAGGCUCGGGGGAGAAAGAAAAAACAAAGGAGAGAGAGAGGAUGCUACCACUGCCACAUCACCAAUACGCAUGAUCGAUCUGCAAGAUGUGCUCUCUCUUUUGCCGCCUCUGAUGGCAAAGUAUGUCUUUAUCGUCUAUAAUAAGAUUACAAACAGCAAAGUGAGCUCUUUGCCGUCUGUAAAAAAACGGACGACAAACAAACUUUGUUGUCAGCUGCCGACGGCAAAAAGUGCUCUUUACCGCAGCCUCGAUGAGAAGCUGAAGGCAAAGUGCCCCACAGACGGCAAAUUAGUUGAUUCCUGGGUGGUUAUGAGCAAGACAGGAGCAAUAACCCUAUCUACACUCGGUCAUCUGGAAGACAGGAGUAGUCGAACCAUCUAUAGUCGGCUACAUCUGAGGUUACCGUGACCCUUACGAUGCAUUCAUUAUCGCCGUUACUCAAUGGAGUAGUUAAAUACGUCAGUUAGCAAUAAUAAUAGCCACGAACAGUCAAUCAUGCAUGUGACCAUCAAUAGCAUUUAUACCAACCCAUUACGGCACUUCCUCCUAGCACACUCUAUAUAAGCCAGGAGUAGGACAUGAGAGUGAGGGAUGAACUCUCUCACAGUAUAACCUACGCCAAGAGCAGGAACACCACAUGAAUAGAGAUUACCUCCACCAACGUACUCCCAUCCGUUUUAUGUACCGAUCAAUGUAUAUAAUGGCUUCUACAUUCACAUCCCGUAGUAUUGUCAGGAUUAUAUCCACGACAGAAACUAUAUUUUGUUAUACAUCAAGAACAUUUUAUAUAUAAAUAUUUACAAUUUUUUAAAUACAUGAUUAAUAUUUUUUCAAACAUAUAUUUUGUAUGUCUCCUUUUCAUAAUCUUUGAUCCCUGGAAGUUUCAGAUUUUUUCCGAUUUGUUCUCAUUUUUUUAUGAAUUUACUGUUCAUGAGGGUGUAGGGGCACCCAGGAGCUGUUAGGCAUAAUAUUUCUGCUGUUGUUGUCAUCAUCAAGGGGAAUGAGAAGGGUUGAAGUUUUCGUUUUCUUUGAGGGGGAAAUCAGAGUUGGGGGCUGGAAGUGAGUGAUUAGGCCCAACAUAAGCGCUGUGUGUGUGUGUCUCGUCACGGGCACCAAAUUCGAACUGGGCUAUUGUUUUCUGAGAACCCAACGUCACAAGCCCAACCAACAGUCUGCCGAUCUGCAUCUUCCUCUCCUUGUCCAUCCUCCUCGUUGGCCGGACCGCCUCGAGCCACGGCCGCUCCCUGGCGCAGCGUCCUCCCCUUCCUCUCCACCCCCAAAUUCUCUUGUAUCCUCUUCUGAUCUCCUUCCUUACUUCCUCUCGCUGAUGGUCUCCACAAGAAGGUCUCCGAGCUCCUCGGAGGGUUCCGGCUGUACGUCGACGCAGCCUCUCCGACCUCCCCAUGAACAUGAGCUAUCGACCCUGAAAGCCUGUCUCUUCCAUGAUUCGAUUCACAUGAAUUCACGAGCCGCAUGAAUCAUGAAGGUCAUGGAGCAGAAUUCAGUCGUGUAGCCUGACAGUGAUGUACAUUUGUGGCUUUUCUGGCUAAAUAGCUCUGUACCCUAUGUGGAUGCCACUUCAAAUAAUCGUCAAAAUAAUUCUCCUGCACGCGUUAUACAAAUGGCGAAGAAGAAGUUCGCGUGGAACAUUUCGUUUCUUAUUGAUGUCCGAGAGAAAAGCUCCUAGGAAGUUCAUCCGCUCGGUGGAUUAUAAGUUUAAGUUUGUUACAACAUCCAAUCAUCCAUAUAAUCUCUGUGUUUCUUCUGUUUUCUACCAGUCAUAUAUCAUAUGUGCAUCAGAGGAAAAAUGCUUUCAGCAGUCAUGUUGGAGCGCGCAUACCAAGUUCCCACAUUGCAAAUAUGAUCCUAGCCAUUAAUAUGUUUCAUUCCACAUUUUCUUGAUCUAAUUUCUAAAUGAUUGGACAACCUGUUAUAGUCUUAUAGAAUUAUGAGCCGCCAAAUCCACAUUUCUCUUGGUCUAAUUUCUAAAUGAUAAUGUGCAGCAUCUAUCUCCUGGUGAACCUUUUUUUCUUGCGACUGUAUCUCCUGAUGAACCUAGUUUUCUCUAGGUAGCACAAUAAUUGUACUGGUUUGAUGUAAAGGACAUAAAUACAAGGGAAUAAAUUGGAAGCUUAUUUCAAAUUAACUAGCUAGUGGUGUUUGUGAAGUUCAAGAAAAAGCUGGUCUUUUUCUCGACAAAUAAUUUAACAUGCAAAGAAUCAAUAAAUGUAUUUGCAAGAAAGCAAACAUAAUUAACGAUAAAACUGGUUUAUUGUCACUGUAGACAACGGUAGUAGUUGGAACUAGAUACAAACCAAUAAAAAACAAGAUCUCAAAUCUCCAACCAAUAAAGAGUUCAACCCAAAUUUUACAGUAACACCAUUAUAUUCAAAUAGUGAUUAUUCCAACACAUGGAUAAUUAAUUAAGGCACCAGGUUGCCCUUGUGACUAGGAAAGACAAACUUAUGAACUUGCAAGCAUGGCAAUCAGAUCGACAUCCACACAAUGCCAAUAUGAACAUUGUCUUGAUACAACUUUAUUUUUAUUUUAUUUCAGAAUUUAAACAACUAGUAUGGGCGGGUCACACACGACAUUGUGUGACACUUUAUUUGUCACCGCUGCAUCGACAUAUCCAUCGACUAAACAACGGUGAUCCAACUAUAUAUUACUAGAGACCUUUCCUUAUUAGUAGGAACCAACUCCGGUGCCAACACCGAAUGGCACACUAGUGGUGGUUCUAUACAACGGCACAUUGACACGGCACAUCGUUGGCAGGGUACGGAGCGCAAUGGAAGUCAUCACCUCAAGCUGAGCUAUCUGGUGUGGCUGCAAAAAGGUACCUUGUGCCAAUUGUUGUUGUUGAGGUUGUUGCCCGAGUUGUUGUUGUGACUGCUGUUGGGGUUGGGAAACACAUUGGCCCAACUGUUGGGGUUGCUGCUGAGGAGUUUGGAUGGAACCCUGAACCUGUUGUUGUUCUUGCAGGAUGAUGGAGUAGAUGAUAGCACGGAUUGCCUCAUAGCGGGAUUGCUGGGGGAUUUGCGGCAACUGCUGGCAACAUUGUUGUUGCAUCACAUGGCAACUGCUCUGCUGCAACAUUUGCGACCUAGCAAGACUUUGUGGCAUUGCCACAGGGCUGCAUUGCUGCUGGAGGAAUACCUUGCAUGGGUUUAGCUGCUGCAAGAUAGAUGGAUGAACAAAUGGUAUUUGUUGUUGCGGUAGAACUAGUUGUUGUUGUUGCUGCGAAAAUGGUGGUUGUUGCGGUAGACUUGGUUGUUGUUGUUGCAAAAAUGGUGGUUGUUGCUGUAGUACUAUUUGUUGUUGUUGCGAAAACGGUGAUUGUUGCUGUGAAAAUGGUGGUAGUUGUUGCUGUGAAAAUGAUGGUUGUUGCGGUAGAACUGGUUGUUGUUGCUGCGAAAAUGGUGGUUGUUGUUGUGAAAAUGGUGGUUGUUGUUGCUGCGAAAAUGGUGGUUGUUGUUGUGAAAANNNNNNNNNNNNNNNNNNNNNNNNNNNNNNNNNNNNNNNNNNNNNNNNNNNNNNNNNNNNNNNNNNNNNNNNNNNNNNNNNNNNNNNNNNNNNNNNNNNNNNNNNNNNNNNNNNNNNNNNNNNNNNNNNNNNNNNNNNNNNNNNNNNNNNNNNNNNNNNNNNNNNNNNNNNNNNNNNNNNNNNNNNNNNNNNNNNNNNNNNNNNUGGUUGUUGUUGCUGCGAUAAUGGUUGUUGUUGUUGCUGCGAAAAUGGUGGUUGUUGUUGUGAAAAUGGUGGUUGUUGUUGCUGCGAUAAUGGUUGUUGUUGUUGUUGCUGUGAACAUGGUUGCUGUUGUGAAAAUGGUUGUGGUUGUUGUUGGAUGGGUUGUUGUUGUUGGUGGUGCGAUAAUGUUUGUUGUGGUGGUAAUGGUUGUUGCUGCGAUGGUCUCUCCAAACCAGGGAUGUGGCUAUUCUCCAUUUGUGCAAUGGCACUUGUCGCCACAAUGGCGAGGAGAGCAAAGAUGAGGAAGGUCUUCAUGGUGGAUUGGUGUUAACCAGUGUUGCUUGGUUUUGAUGCUUGUGCUUGUGAUGAUCUUUAUACUUCAUGCCUAUUUAUAGUAGCC